UAUCUAGAGCAUUUGAAACAUCUAGAAAUCAAAUUUCAUAAUUUUUCGACAUCAUUUACCUUACGAUCAAAAGCUCACAAAAUUGACUAUUUUUAACGGCCGGUAUGGAAUACUUGCUAGUUUAAUAGUGCAAAAGAAUCCGAAUAGGUUGAAUUUUUGAUAGAAAAUUCUAUUCACUACCUCGAUAAAGAUCAAUAACUCCGAUCUUAAAUUGAAGGAUUCGAUCAUCCAUUUUUAAGACAUCGUUCGAUUUUGACCGUUCAUUUUAUGCUUGCUUGAUGGACUUUAUUAUGAUUUCGAAAAAUUACGAAAUUUAUUUUUUAGAAGUUUCAAAUACUCUAGAUCAUGUUUAACGGAGUGGAUCGUCAAUUCGGAAGCUCCAUCAUCGAAAACAACUUAUGAGUACGAAGGGCCCAAUACUCAUAAUAGUAUAGUAGCCCUACUCUCUCUCUCUCUCUCUCUCUCUCUAUAUAUAUAUAUAUAUAUAUAUAGAGUCCGGCUACUAUACUGUUGUGAGUACGAUCGCCUUCGUACUCAUAAAUCGUUUUCGAUUAUAAAGUUUCCGAAUCGACGAUCCAUACCGUUAAACGUCAUCUAGAGCAUUUAAAACUUCUAGAAAUCAAAUUUUAUAAUACUUUGACAUCAUUUACCUUACGAUCAAAAAAUCUCAAAAUUGAUAAUUUUUAAUGGUCGGUAUAGGAUACUUGCUAGUUUAACAAUGUAAAAGAAUCGGAAUUGGUUGAAUUUUUGAUAAAAAAAAUUUAUUCACUAUCUAGAUAAAGAUCAAUAACUCCGAUCUUAAAUUGAAGGAUCCGAUCAUCCAUUUUUAGGACGUCGUUCGAUUUUGACCAUUCAUUUUAUGCCCGCUUGAUGGACUUUAUUAUGAUUUCGAAAAAUUAUGAAAUUUAUUUUUUAGAAGUUUCAAAUACGCUACAUCAUAUUUAACGGAGUGGAUCCUCGAUUUGGAAGCUCCAUUAUGGAAAACAACUCUAUACUCAUAAGAGUAUAGUAGCUCUACUCUCUUUCUCUCUCUAUCUAUCUAUCUAUAUAUAUAAAUAUAUUAUAGGCUAGGGUUACUAUACUUUUAUGAGUAUAAAUCCCUUUGUACUCAUAGGUUUUCGACUGUUGGAUGAAGGGAUAUGCGGUUAAGAUGAUAGUGGUCGCCGAUUAGGAUGAUAGUGGAUCCCUCGGAUUGAGUAGGUGGUUGGUUGGUUGAAUAGUAUGAUCUAAUGGGUGGAAAUGGUCAAAAUGGUAGAUGUAAUAGCUGAAAAUUUAUAAGUAUAAAGGGGUCUAUGCUCUAUACUCAUAAGAGUAUAGUAGUUGGACUCUAUAUUAUGUGUCUAUAUAUAUAUAUAUAUAUAUACGAGUUGAGCUGGAAUACUAUUAAUAGUAUUUGGGCUAUUUUACUAUCGAUUUUUUAGCCGUUAGAUCUACACUUUGAUCAAUUUCAUCCUUUAGAUCAUACUAUUCAACUAAGCACCUACUCAACCCUAGGGGGACCACUACUAAACCCUAGGGGAUGACUAUUAUCCUAACACUACAAUUUUUUUAUCUAAAUGUUAAAAACUGGAUAGCAAAAAAGGUCAAAUACUAUUAAUAGUAUUCUAGCCCAAUUCUGUAUAUAUAUAUAGGGUAAAGUUCAAAUACCAGCAUUGUAGUUUCGCACUUUCUCACUUUAGUACCCUGUGGUUUAAAGUGUAUCAAGUUAGUGUCAUGUGGUUUCAUUUUUAUCUUUCGUCAGCUUUUCCGUUAAUAUUUUGUUAAAUUAUAUAUAAAAAAUUUCAGAUUCCCCACCUAGGUUUAUCAAAUAUUCACUUUAGUACUCUUUAGUUUUAACUUUGUCACUGAUUUAACAACAAAAAUUAGUGAAAUCGAUAAUAAAAAGAUAAAAAUGAAACUGCAGGGCACUAAAUUGAUACACUUUAAACCACAGGGUACUAAAGUGAGAAAGUGUGAAACCAUAGGGGUGGUAUUUGAAGUUUUCUCAUAUAUAUAUAUAUAUUACAUAUAUGAGUUAGGCUGGUAUACUAUCGGUAGCACGAAGAUCUACAUACUACCAAGUUGUUUUCAAUGAUGUAGCUCCCAAAUCAACGAUCGACUCCGUUAGACUUUAUUUGCAUUAUCGAAAGUAUUUGGAAACUAAAUUUCAAAUUUCGACAUCAUUUACCUAGUCUAAAAAUGAAUGCCUAGAAAUAAAAAUCUCAUAAAAGAUGAUGAUAAAAGACUUGAAUUUAAUAUCAGAGGUAUUGAUCUUACACUAAAUAGUGAAAAAAUUUUCUAUAAAAAUUUCAUCAGAUUUGGAUUAUUUUACACCGUUAAAUUCACAAACGCAUCACAUCGACCAUUAAAAUUGUCAAUUUUGAGACCUUUUGAUCAUUAGCCAAAUGAUGUCGAAAAUUAUAAAAUUUAGUUUUCAAAUACUUUUAAUAGUGUAGAUCAAGUCUAACGAAGCCGAUCGUCGAUUUGGAAGCUGCAUCAUUGGAAACAUCUUGAUAGUACGGAGGCCUCCGUGCUAUCGAUAGUAUACCAGUCUAGCUAUAUAUAUAGUAUAUAUAUAGAGAGAGAAGGCUGCUAUACUCUUAUGAGAAUAGAGCCCUUCGUACUCAUAAGUUGUUUUUGAUGAUAGAGCUUCUGAAUAGAUGUUCUACUCCGUUAAAUAUGAUUUAGAGUGUUUAAAACUUUUAAAAAAUAAAUUUCAUAAUUUUUCGAAAUCAUAAUAAAGUCCACCAAGCGGGCAUAAAAUGAACGGUCAAAAUCGAACGAUGUCCUAAAAAUGGAUGAUCGGAUCCUCCAAUUUAAGAUCGGAGUUAUUUAUCUUUAUCUAGAUAGUGAAUAGAAUUUUCUAUCAAAAAUUCAACUGAUUUCGCUUUUUUUACAUUGUUAAACUAGCAAGAAUCCCGUACCGGUCGUUAAUAUAUAUAUAUAUAUAUAUAUAUAUAUAUAGAGCUAGGUUGCUAUACUAUCAAUAGCACAGAGACCUUCGUGCUACUAAGUUGUUUUCAAUGAUGUGGCUUCCAAAUCGACGAUCGGCUCCGUUAGACUUGAUCUACACUAUUAAAAGUAUUUGGAAACUAAAUUUUAUAAUUUUUCGAUAUCAUUUGGCUAGUGAUCAAAAGGUCUCAAAAUUGACAAUUUUAAUGAUCGAUUUGAUGCGUUUGUGAAUUUAACAGUGUAAAACAAUCCAAAUCUGAUGAAAUUUUUAUAGAAAAUUCUUUUCACUAUUUAGAGUAAGAUCAGUACCUUUGAUCUUAAAUUCAAGUCUUUUAUCACCAUUUUUUAUGAUAAUUUUAUUUUUAGCCNUUUUUUUACCGUUAGAUCUACGCCUUUGAUCAUUUUCAACCGUUAGAUUAUACUAUUCAACCAACCACCCACUCAACCCUAGGGGGAUCACAUCAUCCUAACCGCACAUUUCUUAAUCCAAUGACCAAAAAUUUACAAGCACCGAUAACUUGAUACUUUUAAAGCAUAGGAGCUCAAUUCUGUAUAUAUAUAUAGAGAGAGCAGGACUGCUGUGCUCUUAGGAGCACGGAGGCCUCCGUGCUCCUGAGCCGUUUUCGAUGAUGGAAUUUCCGAAUCAACGAUCGUCUCCGUUAGGCUUGAUCUAGCGUAUUUGAAGUUUCUAGAAAAUAAUUUUUGCGAUUUUUCGAUAUUAUUAACCUAGCAAUCGAAAGGAUUCAAAAUCAAUAAUUUUUAACGUCUGAAAAUAAAAAUCCUAUAAAAAGUGAUGAUGUAGCACUAAAAUUUUCGAUCAAAAAUAUUGAUUUUGUUGUAGAUAGUAUAAAGAAUUUUGUAUCAAAAUUUCAUUUGAUUUGAAUACUUCUACACCGUUAAACUUGAAAACGGCAGAUAUCAACCAUUAAAAAUUAUUGAUUUUGAAUCCUUUCGAUCACUAGGUAAAUGAUAUGAAAAAAACACAAAAAUUAUUUUCUAGAAACUUCAAAUACCCUAGAUCAAGUCUAACGGAGCCGAUCGUCGAUUUGAAAAUUCCAUCAUUGAAAACGGCUCAGGAGCACGGAGGCCUCCGUGCUCCUGAGAGCACAGCAGCCCUGCUCUCUCUAUAUAUAUAUACAGAAUUGAGCUCCUAUGCUUUAAAAGUAUCAAGUUAUCGGUGCUUGUAAAUUUUUGGUCAUUGGAUUAAGAAAUGUGCGGUUAGGAUGAUGUGAUCCCCCUAGGGUUGAGUGGGUGGUUGGUUGAAUAGUAUAAUCUAACGGUUGAAAAUGAUCAAAGGCGUAGAUCUAACGGUAAAAAAAUUUAUAAGCACCAAGUGCUUGGUGCUUUUACAAGCACCAUAGCCGUACUCAUAUAUAUAUAUAUAUAUAUGUAUAUAUAUAUAUAUAUAUAUAUAUGUGUAUAUAUAUAUAUAUAUAUGUGUAUAUAUAUAUAUAUAUAUAUAUAUAUAUAUAUAUAUAUAUAUGUGUGUAUGUAUGUAUGUAUGUAUGUACUUGCAAAUAGUCGUAAAAUCUGAAAUUUCAUCUAUAAUCCUUGAAAGAUGCAUUUUUUUUCAUUCUUAAAUAUUUGGUCGGGAAGUCAUGUGUUAGUAGUAUUCUUAUGAAAGAAGGUUCAAUGGGCGUUUUUGUAUGUACAAGGGUAUUUAUAUGUACCGAAUAUUUAUUUUUUUGAAGAACCCAUGUAAAAUCAAAUUUGCAAGGCGAUAUAUUUAAAUAGAUAAUUUCCAUGCUAUACAUGUAAAUUUCUCUUUUUUCGUGUGUGCCUUCUAUAAUUUUUGUGUGCCCUGUAGGGCUUGAAGAACUUCAGUAAAACUGCACGAGAACUAAUUGUGCGGCUGCAGAAGAUUGACAAUGAUAACUACCCUGAGGUUUGCGAAUUCUUUUUUCCUAUUCUAUGGACUUAAUGGACACAAGAUUGUUAUUGAAGAUAAUUCUUACAAGAAUAACUAUUCGUGCAGACAUUAUACCGAAUGUUCAUCGUUAAUGCUGGCCCAGGAUUCAGGCUUUUAUGGAACACUGUGAAGUCUUUCCUCGAUCCAAAGACUACUUCGAAGAUACAUGUAGGCAAUUGUGAUCUAACCGUGAAGUUCAGUUUUUUCUCUUGAAUUUCUGAGAAUGUAAAUUGAAUUACUUCGCAAUUUUCUUUUUCAGGUCCUUGGGACCAAAUUCCAAAGCAAGCUGGCUGAAAUAAUUGAUUCCAGGUUGGUGCCUUGAAAAUUUUGCAUGAUAUAUGUAUAUGCCUUUUGAAACUUAAUUUCUUGCAUUACUGACCCUUGCUUUACAAGAAAAUUUUGCCUCUAUUUUACUUUUUUCUUGAUAACUUUCAGCUUUCCUCCAUGAAUUGGAUAUUUCCCAACUUAGAUGUAAGAGAUUUCAUUUUCAAUGGCCAUACAUGAGAUUCCAGAUUUUAUAGUGGUGCAUAGUAAAUAGUUGACUUUUGUGCGAAUAUAUAUAUAUAUGUAAAAGCCCUCAAUUUUGUUUCAUGAUUAACACCUUUCCUUUUGUAAAUUUAUUCAGUGAGCUUCCGGAAUUUCUUGGUGGUUCUUGUACUUGUCCCGAACAUGGAGGAUGCCUUAAGGCAGAGAAAGGCCCUUGGAAGGACCCAAACAUAUUGAAGGUUUCUGUUUGUUAACCAUCUCUUUUUUACUUAUACAUAUUAUAUUCUCAAUUUUGUCUUUUAAUUUUAAGGAAUUUUUGCUGUUAUAUGUAGAUGGUCCUUUGUGGUGAAGCACAAUAUGGUAGGCAAAUUGUAACUGUAUCCAAUGGCGAGGGAAAAAUCAUUGCUUAUGCUAAACCACAAUACACAGGAGUAAGACUUCGUACAAUCCUUUUUCUUUUUUAACUUAUUUCCCUAUUGAAAAUAAGUUGCUAAUGAAUGAAAACUGCUAUUUUGUAGAAAAUGAUUCACAUAUUUUUUUUAUUUCACAAAUGUACCCACUUUUUUCAGUUUUAGAAUUUUUGGACCAAAAUUUUUCUGUGGACCAAGAUGCCCCUAACUGAAAUACCUGAUGCAUGCAAUUAAUUUUAGUCUAUACAGAAAGAUUUUUUUUGAAAAUGUUAGCAGCAGAGGAAGUGGAUUAGACUGCUUAAUUAAGAGAAACCUAUUGGUUGAUUUUGCAAAAUCCCCUGCUAAAAUCAGUUUCUUCUUUUUGGAGUAGAAAAAGGGUAGUGAUACAUCUACUGCGGAGUCUGGUUCAGAUGCUGAAGACAUUUCCUCACCAAAAGCAUUGAGAACUUAUAUUUCUCACCCUCAAUUGACCCCAGUUCGCGAAGAGGUGAGUUGAUUCUCUGAUGACAUUUUCUAUUUUAUAUGUUGACAUUUUAUUUUUUUAAUUAGGAUACUAUCUUGGCAACUCUUUUCUUAUAAGCUAACCAUGCGUAUAAAGGUAGUGUCUGUUACAAAGUAAGUUAGAGAAUUUCAGAAGGAUAUGAAUGUUAAUUUAUGUACUUUUUAAAGUUCCAAGUGACUAUAUGGGAUUGAGUUUGUUGAGUUGGUCGAAAAGUAGCACAGGUAGAUUUCAACAAUUGUUCUGUAUUUGAUUUUGAAACUACUAGUUGUUUUACAAAAACACACUCUGGGAAAAAUAGGUGAUCUAGGUAGGAGAAGGUGAAUUUCUAGAGAAGGAAAUGAGGUUGAACGUGCUUCGUAUCUAGUAAAAGUCAAAGCACAUAGGACCAAAAGUGUUUCGGAUGUCUUGUAUUGAACAUUUGUUUCUUUAAUAAACUGUUCUUGCAAUCAGUAUUUCUUGUGAUAUAGUAGAGUUGGUUAUAAGUAUGGUCUCUAAAAUUUGGCUUUGGUUUCAAUUUUGUCCGCUGGUUCGAAUUGUAACAAUUUAAUCCAGAAGUCUUACUCUGAUAUCAGUUUCAUCAUCAGUAUCAUUUCAAUUCUGAAGUUUGAUCUUAACUUCAAGCUUAGCCCUGAAGUUUGACUUCAGUUUCAGUUUCAUCUUUAAGUUUCAAUUUUAUGAGUCUAAUGAUGGUGCUGACUAAAUUAUUACAGUUAAAACUAUGAGGGAAUAUCGAAUUUUGGGCCAAACUUUUUGACAAUUUUGUUGUUAACCCUGUAUUAUAACAUGUUAUGAAUUUUCAAAUAGGUUGUUAUUAACGUAAUCACAGCAACUACUCUCAUAUUAUCUUGUAGCAAGCAAAGAUGGUGAAGGCAGCUAGCUUUCCUACUGGUCUUUCUGAAAGUGGUGAACAUGUUCCCAUGGUUGACAAGGCUGUUGAUGCAGGAUGGAAGAAAGAAGCUUCUAACCAGAGGCUUUUCGGAUCUAAAGGUUCGUGAAUCAAUAGCUAAAAGAAUUAAAUUUGAAUAGAACAAAAAAAUCCCAGAUCUGUCAGAAAAUUUGAAGAAAGCCCCCUAAUCUUCCUCUUUUUUACAUGAAUCUGUUGUUUUGAGUUUUUAUUUUCAAAAGCCCCUGCUGAGAUCUUUCAAUGGAACAUAGGAAAAUUUUGUUACAAACAUAUCCUCGGAAACUUUAUAUUCUCACUCCUAAUUUCGAAAAACACUAGUGCUAGUGGAAUUGUUACUAUUGCUAAUGGAAUUUACUAUUGCUAACUUUCGUCCUCAACUUUAUUUAUAUGAAGUUCACAAGGACAACCAUUAUAAAGGGACAAAAGUCACUAUUCCUUUUGGUGUCUUCCUUGAUUCCAUUAAACAUGCCUGUUGGCAACUUCUAUUAUUAACAACAAACAAAAAAACAAACAAACUUAGAGUAAAGGGUUUUAUCUGACCUGACAAAACAAAAGUUAGGGCCUUUCUUGAGACUGUCCACAAAAUCAGGGAUUACAUAAAAAUUAUCUUUCCAUUUUUUUCGUUCUCUUAAAUCUUGAUCUUUAGAUCUUUUUCCUUGGGGCAGAUUUCAAGUUGUUAAGCCUGCUAAAUUUAGCAUCAACGACAUCCAAUUUUAUCUAAUUCUGCCUUUUCAACUUCUAUUUUUGUCACUAGUAAUUUCACAAUAAAAGACUAAUGAAACUGCUUAGAUCUAGUUACACAAGUUUGAAUAUGAUACAUAUGCUAGUCACGCACUCCAUUUUCUUUAUCUUCAUUCUUAAUAAAUAACUAAACAUGGCUAUGUUUUUUGUUUGCUAUUGUCAUAAAUGCAGAUACUGUUUCUCUUACAUCAAAACCUUCUGAAGGUCACUUGGCUCAAAUUAUUGCGACCCUGUUGGCAUUUAUCCUGACUAUUCUGACUUUCCUACGUGCAAUCACAAGUCGCGUGACCAAGAAACUUCCACAGAGUACUUCCCAGCCAGAGACUAACUACGCCACAUUUCAAUUUGACUCUGUUCCGAAAGAAGAGUUCCGCCCGCCUUCGCCCGCUCCAGGAUUUACCCAAGUAGACCUCCUUUCGUCACUUCUGAGUAGGCUCGGUGAACUCGAAGAGAAAGUCGAGAUUCUUCAAGCAAAGCAACAUGAGAUGCCUUCUGAGAAGGAAGAGUUGCUUAAUGCCGCUGUUCGCCGAGUAGAUGCAUUAGAAGCCGAGCUCAUUGUUACUAAGAAGGUAAAGUUGUGCAACUCAUUUCCCUUCUUGACUAAUGUUGGCUUUGUAUAUUUAGCUAGACUAUGCAGAUGCACAAUAACUACCGUAGAGCAUCAUAAAUCUAGGCCUUGUUUUUCCUCACCACUUGUAUCCAUUCUUUUUCUGAAAAGAAUGGUUAUUGUGAUUCAUUUUGGCUCUGGGCUCUUUUCUGUCUAGACUUGUCUAUCCAAUACUCUUUAUCAUCAUACUAUUUGUAAAGGAUUUUUUGGUUAGUUAUUAUAAUCUUAGAUAGUUACCAUGGUGGGCCAAAUUUUUUUUGAAUAAAUUUAUCCAUUGUUAUAACCAUUUUUUUAGACUAUAUUCCCAACUGUUAUAUGGAUGAUUAGUUAAUGACCUGUUUUUUUUUUUUCCUUAGUUCACUUUGUUGGUUUCUAUUUUCCCCAGUACAUGUUGAACAAUAUUUUUAACCAGCGUGUUGUAUUUACCAAACUCGGCAAUUUUACUUUGCGUAUUUAUGUGCUAAUUUAUUACACAGGCUUUGCAUGAAGCUCUUAUUAGGCAAGAGGAACUGCUUGCAUAUAUAGACCGCCAAGAGGAGGCUAAGCUUCGGGUUAGUUAACACUUUCUACCCCCUCUCUUUUUAUCAAUGCUGUCCUACAUUCAAAGCUUUUUUUUUUUUUUGUUUUCAUUUUUUUGAUAACACAUUAAAAAAAUGAUGAUACCGAUGAAUUUACGUACCUUGCUACAAAUUUUUUGUAGAAGAACAAAUUUUGCUUUUGAAGAGUUUGAAGAGGCUUAUGCGGCUUUGUUCUGCUGGUGGAGGUUUUACAAGCAGGAAAAGAAGAUGAAUUUGAGGUGACAUUCUACGGAUGUAUCUUCAAAAUCAUUGGGUUUCGACGUAUGAUUCUAGCGAUAAAUAAAUUGUAUUUUCAUUUCCCCUUCUAUUGCAAUGCCUUUAUAAUAGCCUUUCUUUUCUUUUUUUUUUCCCUCGCACGUUUGUUUCCCAGUAUGAGGACAUAGUAUAAGUAAAACAACGUAAUCAAAAAGAUUAUCAAGUCAGUUACUUUUUUUAACUUUGGUAUAUUAUAUAUUUAUAUAUACACACACACACGCUUGCUGAGUCCUCCUUUAUGCUUUGUUAUUUUAUUUCUUUAUUUCUUUUUAUCCUUGUAUCAGAGAUGUAAAAACAUCCAAUGGAAGUUGUAUCCCUAGUAUUGGGACUACUAAAUCUUUGGAAUGUGGGGAACAACUAUGGCCCUUAUAAGUCAUAACCUUUGUAACGAGCAAGUCGUAAAAUAUUUGAUAGUUGAUACUCGAAAUUUCAAAUUUAAAGUCUAGUUGUUCUAUAUUUCUAGCUAAAUUUAUUUAUAAAAAAAAAUGAACGAAAUGGGUACCAUACUGAUACUACCAUUCUCUCUCUCUCAAAAAAAAAAAAAAAAAAAAUGCAGGAGCUCUUGGUGGGGGGUUGUGAAAAGGAGCUAUUAAUGAUAUUUCACAUAGCUUUAUUCAAAUAACAAUUUUAUGGAACUUCCGGUCACACCAAUGAUGACCAAACAAGUCCUAAAUAUUUGGGAAGUGAUCUCAAUUGACUCACUUUUACUACGAAUAGAUCAGCUUUUUUCAAUUUGGUCCAAAUCAACAGCUGAAUAUUAAUUAUUCAAAGGAAGCAGGUAACCAAUCACAUGUGGCAUUAGAAAUAAAUGUCCAAACUAAAAUAGAAUGUAUGUACAUAACAAUCAACUUGGUAAAUCAUACAAUCGAAUAACAAAUAAAAUGUAUGUGAUCCCAAAGGAAUCAUUUGAGUAAUACAUAUGUACUUUUAACCGAAAGCUUGGAUUAGUUCACCCAAGAAUAAACACAUAUAAGGUUGCAACUCAUAUAAAAGAAAAUUAACCAACCUCUUAAAAGUUUCAUAUUUUUACUUUACAUGGUGCUUUCUCUCUCUUCUCACUGCAUUCUUUUACCAGCAAAAUGGGUUCUGCAUAUGUUAAGUUACAGUGUUAUCAGAUGAAGAGGAUAUGCAUAGAAAAGUAUUAAGCAAAAACAAAAUAAUGUAGCUCCUAAGUCAAGCAAAAGAAGAAGAGAACACAUUUAAAAUAUUAUGUAUAAUUAUUUAUUAACUAACAUGGUACUAUUUCUUUGUAUUUGAAGUGAUCCAAGGCCCUAGUUUCUAAGAAAACAUACCGUGGUUAAGAAAUGGAGUUAUAGUGUGGAAGAAAAAUGGUUUGCCACAAUUAUUGAAAGAAUAACAGCAACAUAUAUACAGUAUUAAACAUUUAUACAAUUAUAUAUCUAUCCCAAUAGAAAAGCUUAUAUUAUGAAUGAAAGUGCCAGGAUAUAACUAUAUAUAUAUGGUGUGUUCAAAAGAUUGGAUUUUCGAAAUAUUCGACAUUCGGAUACUAAAACCACUUACCAACUUGUUCUUCUUCUUUUUCUUCUUAUCAAUAUAAGCAAGAAGCUCCUCCUGCUGCGAGAAAGCAUCCUCGAGAGCCUGCGAAAUGAGAAAUAAAUAGGAACCAUUAUUUUUACAGCCAAUUUAACUAAACAAUCUGCACCAAAUUCUCUCAUGCCAUAGCCAUGAAACUGAAAUCCUUUUCUAUCAAAUAUGUGCUUACCUUUCUGGUGGCUGCGAGCUCGGAUUCUAACGCCUCGACGCGGCUCACUGCAGCCUUAAGCAUCUCCUCCUUCUCAGAAGGCAUCUCAACAGGCUUCAUGCUGAGAAUGUUCAUCUUCUCUUCCAUUUCCACAAGGCGCUUAAUCACCGCAUUGUAUUCAGCAGCUGAUACUUGAGGUUCACUCAUCAUGCAUAACUGCUUUUGGCUUCUGACUGCAGCUUCUCCGUAAGCAGGGUUCGUGCAGUCGAUGGCCGCCCCGACUAUUUUCUUGGACACGACGCGGCUGACUUUGAGGAUGGUGACUAAGCCCAUAACCACGGCCAUGACUCCUCCGAGGACGGGGCUGCCAAGUCCUCCUGAGUUUUGGCAGAUAUCUGCCAAUGAGUAGGGAUCUGAAAAGCGAAAAAAUAGCAUCUAUAUAUUAAACUUUGUGUCUUGUCUAUUAAAUCCCUCACACUAUGAGAGAACAUUCAAAUUCGCAGAUUUAAGACACGACAUGGGACAAUUUGAAAUUACUGAGAAAAACUUGAAUCGACACUACUACAUGAAUUGAACCGUCUAACACGGAAACGACACGACAUAACAGGAUUACAGUAAGUAAUUUUGUUGAGCAUCUAGGUAAAGUUAUAGGCUCUUAGACGUAGUCUCAAAUGGUGCUCAAGCUCCGCAAAUAUAGCUGAAAAUUAAUUUUUUUGAGAGGUAAUAGUUACAUGAACCAACCUUUAGAUAUCAUUGCAAGUUUUUGGUCUUGUACUUCAUUGUUCCAGCUAGCGUCGACGGCCUUGUCAACAAUCGGGAUGUGAUCAUCGCAAGAAUACGAGGAGGAAAGAGUUUCUUCGGCCUCCGGAACCUGUAGAGUUUAGAAAAGAUUAGGGACUCGGCUAAAAUUGAAGGACCAACAUGAGUGUUAGUAUAAUACAUUGACCUGUGAAAUAGCGUCUGAUAUUUCUGUUUCUCUCUGUCAGAAAGAAUGCAGCAGGGAGUUUAUUGUAGAAUAAGCAUAACUAUCAUGGAGAGUACUACAGUGUUCAUGUACCAAAAACAAUGCAAUGUUCAUUAAUUUCUUAGUGAGAUAAUUGUAGGAAAACCCUUGUAAUUAUAGCAGUUAAUUCUAAAAUUGCCCCCCCAAGAACAUAGAUUCUAUCCUCUUGACCCCCGUAUGUAUGCUGACAUAUAUCAUCAACAAAAGGAGGCGAAGCGAUGAAAAAUCAUUGUUUAGGGAGGUUGAUAAAUAGGUUUUCAAUAUUUCAAGGUGGCAAAAAUGGAAAUCGUGAUAUUUACGAAGGGCUUUCUUCAUUUUAGCAUUUCAAGAUAGUUAGUUAGCUAGUUAUCCGUUUUGUUCAUAUAGUACUAACUGAUUGAAGAAGUCUCCUACCUGGUAUGCUGGACAGCCAGGUUCCUCACGGACGGGAGACAAAUGUGGGUGUUCAAUAAAGCCCCUCGAUGGUUUCGGAGAUCGAAUAUCGUCUGUGGGAAAAAUCAUCUCUCCAGAGAAAGAUUCUUGCAUCUUUACGUAAUGACAAGAGUAUCUUACAAAUUAGUACUUAAAGAUUGUAAAUUAAAGCAUGAAGAAAUGAAAGAAACAGAGAAAAUUAAGUUAGGUUGAGUUUCACAGCCACCUUGGGAUAGAAUAUCUCAUCCUCAGAAAUUGUUUUCUCGUCGGCACUGAAAGAGUUUGAGUUUGGCUUCCCACAUCUCCCAUAGCCACUUUGAACCAUCUAUACAUCAAUGUAUUUAGGGAAAAACUCGGUUAAUUUUUCUAUCCCUCUCAACUUAUAAUGUUGAAAACAUUGAAGAAAAUCUACGUAAAAAUAAGAAAGUAAAGAAGCAAAUAAAUUAUGAUUUGAGGGUCGAAAGGUAAACACACCUUCAGGAUUUCGAGAUCCUUCCAUGGGCCUUUGUCGGACCGAAGACAACCACCCUCACAGUUGCAAGUGCCACCAAGGAACUCCGGUAAUUCACUACGAGAAAACCACAAUAAUUUACACAAUGAUUUGAUGCCUAAAUAAUUCAGAGAGUAAUUACCUGAGGUUUUAUCAAAGUAAUUUUUGAUACAUUAGUAUUCAAAAUUCUAGUAGUAAUGUGUGCUUCAUAAGCUUUAAUGCAAACCUGGCAUCAAUCACUUCAAGCAACUUGCUUUGGUACUUGUUGCUCAGAACCUGAUUGUGAAUCAAAUUAUUGUUAGUUUUCGCAAUAGUUCAUCAAAUUAGAGUUGUUAAUAAAGAGAGAGAGAGAGAGAGAGAGAGAGAGAGAGAGGCACUUACGUGAAUCUUUGCGGUGGUUUUAGGAUCAAGGAAGGUCUUUACGGUGUUCCAAAGCAGUCUAAAUCCCUGACCGGCAUUGAUGAUGAACAUGCGGCACAAGGUCUAAAGAAGAAAAAGAUUGUAAUAAAGUAAAUAUCAUCAUUUUGCAUGAUAUAGUUACUUGGCUAUACAAUUUUUGUGAUUGAAGUGAUUCAUAAUACCUCGGGAUAGUUAUCUCCGUCGAUCUUCUGAAGGCGGCUGAUUAACUCUCUCGCAGUCUUAUUGAAGUGUUUGUACCCCUAAUAAGAUAACACAUUCAUACCAUAUUCAUUUUAAAGCGGGAAAGGAACAACCUAUUUUUUGAACUUGAGCAACUUAAUUAUUAGACUCUCAGAAAACUUGUACAAAACCGAACUGCAUGCAACUUACAAGUAAGAGGUUCUUCAUACCCUCAUGUAUUACUAUGUUAGUAUACAUAUUCUUAUGAAACCAAGGAAUUCUAAUGCAAAUUAAGGAUUAGUGUCUUUGUCAUAGUUAUUCUUGCUAAAUCAUCUAUUCAGAUAUGUACCCCUACAUAAUGCGAUUAUUUUGUAUUCCUCUCCAAAGUGCAUUUUCUAACGAAAUUAGUUAUGGAUUCAAGGGAAAAGUAGGUUUUGCAUCGUAAAUAAAGAGUACUAGUUUUAAUAUGGACAUAUUCACAAGAACAAGGGCAUGUAUAUUCAAAAUAAAGUUUCUAUUAUGGACAUAUUUAUGUGCAGGUUUCGCAUGCCUUCUAUUUUCAACAGAAGGUCUUCUUCACAUACCACUCCUUGGACAUCGAGAAUUGUCGUGCUCUGGUCGAUAUGCCGCUUCGCUGCGAUCGAGCAAGCAGGGAAUUUAACUGCGAAGGUCCUCUCAAACUCCCUAACGUGAUACUUAACGUAUCGGUCCAUAUUCGUGACUUGCAUCAGCUUGUUCGCGUCGAUUUGCCCAAGCCUUUCGAUGUAAACUGGUCGGCCUUCCUUGUCUACUCCAUGGUGGCCUUGUGGGUAGUGCUCCAAAACUUGGUCGAUCUCUUUGAAAUCGAAAUCCUGGGGAGUUAAUUAGUUGUAUAAAAUGAGAAGGAAUGAGUGAGGAUAUAUAAUUUUGAUCUUUAGUUAGCAUGAAAUAAGAACUAUAUAUAUGAUUAUGAUUCCUUUUCCUAUUAAGAAAGUGAGGAAGAAAAUUACAUCUGUUAUUGUGUCGGCGCCGAAUUCCUUUCUCCAUUGGAGCAUAUCAGCCCACAUUUGCUUCGUCUUUUCAAUAUCGAACUUCCUUGCUUUAAGAAACCUGUUUCCGAAAACAAAUUGUAACUGUCAUUAGUAUUUUGUCAAACCAUAUAAUUUCAAUUUCUUUCUUCAUAGCAAAUUAGAUCGAUCGGUACAUCAUAACUGUUACAAUGAAAUCAAAAGAUAGAUACAUUUGUUCAAGACCAUUACCGUAAUCUAUCAAGAAUUAUACUAGCGAACUAUAUUUUAGUCAUCAUAACAAAUAAAGCAAAAAAGGGAUCAUAAUAUUAAUGAUACUACAACAGCUACAAUUAAUGCAUUAUCCAUCUAUUUAUCUAUCCAUAGAUAUGUACCUUAGCAUCAUGUGGUAGUCAUCAUGUCUGGAGGGAAGCAGUUCCUCGAGAAUGAGAGUCUGGCGGAAGGCAUCGACAGCCUGCAUCUCCUCAGCAUCGCGCACGUCCUCGAUGGAGACUGACAUAACCUUGCUGCUUCUCCUGCCCCUCUUCGUCAGCGAAUUUCUGAACUUUGUCGACGCAUUGAUCGCCUUCUUCUUUAAAGACCCGAUUCUUGUCUUCCUGUCGUCCUCUGAGUUCUCGAUGUCAGAUCUUCUGUCUCGCUUUUCUUGAUCUGGAAGGCCUUCCUGACCUGCCAAAGAGUUAAUAGAGUCUAACAUCAUCAGAAAAUGCGAAAUGUUAUGCGAAAUUGAUUCGCUUUUUCUUCUCCAACAUUUUUUUUUUCAAGAUUGAUGAUAUUUGUUUGAGAAGAAUUAGAUAAUUAUUGCACGAGUAGUUAGAAUAGAAUUAUGCACAUUGUACAUAGUUUUAUUGUAAGUAUGUCUAUUUAAUUUAUUUCCUAUACAUAAUUUGCGCCGACAUAAACCAUAGACCAAAACUACAAACUUAUAAUGCUCUCUUAUUUUUGAGAUGCCAUAUAACAAUGUGCGAAUAGAAAAAUCAAAUAUCAACAUAAAAAUCAAUAUAUACUCGCGUAUUAUUUGAGACAAAUAUAUGCUUCUAUAUAUAUAUAAAAAAAUCGGACGUACCAGGUAUUUGGAAUCGGUCGAGAGGCCCCGACAUAGCUUCACUCAUGGUUCGUUUGCGCGAGCUACAACACAUAGUCAAAAAAAAAAAAAAAAAAAGAGAAAAAAAAAAAAAAAAAAAAGAGAAAAGGAGAACAAAAACUCUUUAGCCCGAAGAAAAAGAAAAGAAAAAAAAAGAAUAUUCUUGUGUUGUAUAACUUAGUUAAAUAUUGAACAUAACUUUAGAACAAUCUCGAUAUAUACGUGAAGUUGAAAUUAAUAUUGCACUGUUUUAAGUUGAUCACAGAGAAAGUAGGGAAAAAAAAGAAGAAGAAGUAGAGAUUAAUUGUUUGCCUUAUACAUGCAUACAUGAAAUGUGAAAAUAUUUUAAUGCAAGCGUAUUAAUCAGAAGAUGCAUGAUUAAUGUAACUUACUUGCCCGAUCGAGUGGCCGGUGAUUAAUUAAUUAUAAUGAAUGCUAUGCGAUGUUUAAUAAAACGAAGCUCAAUUGUUUGAAAGUGUACAUACCUACGAGAGAAGCAUGAGGUUUAGAAACAGCAAGGGAGGGGGAGGAGGUGUAGCUUAAAAAUGAUAACACGGAAUGCGCGUAGAGAGAGAGAGAGAGAGAGAGAGAGAGAGAUCCAGAGAGAGAGAGAGAGAGAGAGAGAUGGGUGUUAGAGAGCGAAAGAGGGAGAGCUUUUUCGGCGUAAUGCAAGCUACUCCGUUCGUUAUUCCUAUAUUAUAUUAUACCCAAGAAAACAUGGGGAGCUUAAAAUUAGAUAUAUAGUGAGAGGGGGAGGGAGAGAGAGAGAAUCGCGUGCAACGGCUAUUUUCUUUUUUUUCUUUUUUUUGAAAAUUAAAACUUCAAAUAUCGCUGUUAUGGUUUUGCGCUUUCUCAUUUUAGUAUUCUAUAGUUUAAAAUGUAUCACUUUCGUAUUUUGUGCUUUUAUUUUUUCCUUUCCGUUGUCCCAUCCGGUAAGUUUUUCGUUAAAUCAGUGACAAAAUUAGAAUCACGAGAUAUUAAAGUGAAUAUUAGAUAAAUCAUAGAUGGGUAUCUGAAGUUCUUUGUAUAUGAUUUAACGAAAAUUAACGAAAGCGCCGAUGAAAAGAGAAAAAUAAAAACACACGGUACUAAAAUGAUAUAUUUUUAAUCAGAGGGUACUAAAGUGAGAAGCGUUGAAACCAUAGGGUGGUAUUUAAAGUUUACCUCCCUUUUUUUUUUCCUUUUUUUGGAGGGGAAUCGGUUUGAAUAAAACAAUUCACAUUUAAGUCCCCGUGCUAUGUAUCCUGAUAUUGUGGUUUGGUCCGUAAACAUUGAUAACCCAGAACUUUGAAAUGUUUCUAGAAAAUAAAAAUGAACUCUAUUGUAAAAUGGGAAUCGAAAUGGGAAUUGAUUGGAACGGUGAAUCUCUUAAUUUGUUUGGUUCACAAUAAGAUUUGGAAUCGGAAUCAACUUAUUAGUAUUAUUAUUUAGUUAAAACAAAAAAAAAUUAACCUACUAUCUAAAUUCGUAAUCAAAAUAUAGAUUUAAAUUGAGAUUCAUAAUUUAAAUUUUUAAUUUGACUUUAAGUUCAAAGUUAAAAUGUAAAAUUAUAUCUAAAUUCAAGUAUCAAACAUAUAUUGAAAUUAAAAUUAAAAUUUUAAAAAUUAAUAAAUGUUGAAUUUAUAUUCUGAAUUUAAAUAUAAAAUUAUAAUUUCAUCUAAAUUUAAAAUUAUAUGCAUAUUUGAAUUUAAAUAAUUAUUAUUGAAAAAAAAUGAGUUUUUUUCUAUCCUUUUCGGAAGUAAAAUUGACUCCCAUGCACCUCCGUGUUGGGAGUCAUUUUGGAGGGAUUCGAUUAUCCCCGGAAUGAGAAUCGAAAUGCUUUUCUCUCUAAUCAAUCACUAACAAUAGUAAUUGCUCAUUCUGAUUUCCAUUCCAAGCCUCAAAUUUUUUUAAGUAAAUGAGACCUAAGUGAAAUACAUAAUGUAUAAGCAAGAGGCAAUAUGAUCAUUUUAUUUAGAAAAAAAUAAAAAAAUAAUGUUUACAUGGAUAUGGAUCAAAGCGCAAUAAUGCAUGGAAUAGUACAACUGUACAAGGCCUACCCAUGCAUUAAUUUUAUAAACCUUUUUUUGUUUUUUUUUUUUCACUUGUGAAUGGCUUGUAACGGCAUGUCUAGAUGCGUCCGCAUCGUGUUCAGCUCUCGCUUUUUUUGGUUUAUUUAAGAAGCAAGAGUACUUACUUAAUAGAUGUGCAAAAUAACAUAUAAAUGAUUCGUAAUAACAUGUUCAAAAUAGUACAAAUUCUCAUAUGCAACAUAUAUUAUUCAAAAACAAACCAUGAAUAUCACCGGGGACCAAAAAAAAGGUUCUAUAGUUCAAUUACAAAAGAAAAUUCUCAUAGCAAACAUAGUGUCAUUACAUAACUUAUUUUAACAUUCAAAUAGAUCGCAAUGUAAGAGAAUCAAUCCGUCGGCCUAAUAUGUCUUUUCAUCCAUGCAACUCUUUUUUUCAUCUUAUAAUUUUAAUCCAACAUAGUUCAACCUCUCAAUAGAGAGAAUAAACCUCCAUCAAAUUUGAUAGUAGAGAAUGAAGUGUGACUUGCGGUGAAAGGGGUAUCGAUGCACUAUGCACAGAUGCACUCUAUGCAGAUAAUAAUUUCUAAGCAUUAAAAAAAAAUUGCAUGGAGACUCUGUGUAAUAUCUGGGAUAUUUGUAAUUUAAGAAAUUCAAAAUUUAAAUUUGAAUUCGAAUUUCAAUUCAAAAUUCUCUCUAUAUAUAUUGCUAUAUAUAUGUGAGAGAAAAAGGGGGCAUCAGAUCUUCGCGAAUCCGCGACCAAAUCACACGAAAUGAAAACGUGAUCUCGAAGGUCCGACAGUGCCGGUAGCGUUGGCGCAGUCCAUUCACAAAUCUCACGAACGGAUCGUCUGAAAUUGCAUGUUUAUUGGGGAGAGGAUUUUAUGGGAAAAACUGUGUUUCGGAAAAUCCCCCAACAUUUUAUGUGCCAAAUCGCACGAUUUCGCACGUGGGAGUGGCGUUGUGCAAGUUACUUGUGUUGUGAGGGACCAGGGUAAAAUUUCUAUGUAUUUGUAGAGUUUUUUGCAAUUUUUCCAAAAAUGCUCAAAGAGAAACCUAGGGUUUGUCUUCCCCCACUCUUAACCCUAACCCUCUCUCCCUCUCUCUCUCUCUCACUCAACCACCUCCCUCUUUCUCUUCCGAGUGCGCCAUGUGUAACCUCGGCCGCCGGCAACCUCGUCUCCGGCCAUCUCUCUUUCUCUCCCUCAUUUUUUCUCUUCCCCUCUCACUCUUUCCUUGUUCUAUGAGCCCGAGCAGCAUGGGGACCCGAGGCCACGUCCCUUGGGUUGGCCUCGACCACCCCGACUUCUGGCUGACUCCCCCGGCGUCCUCGUGCCCUGCCGACGCCGCUUGUGACGCCUCAACUUUCCAGAGGGUCAUCCAUCCUAGGACUACUCCCAUCCCAGUACGCUUAAUUUUCUUAACCUCUUGGGCCUAACCACCACCCAAGAUGCUUAAGCCGGGUUUAGAAUUUUAGCCCUACUUGGGGUCUCACAUUCUCUCCUCCUUAAGCCCUGACAUCCUCGUCAGGCUCAAACUCACAAGUACUAUGUGAUGUGAGACUCGUCUCACUAGCCUAAAGCGACCUUGUGGUGAGCUGCACUCCACCCACAACAGUCAACAAUGUGAGAGCCUCGCUCUCCCCGCUGUAUAAUCCUGGCUCAGCCGCGACUGAUCUUACACUUCCGACUAGUAAUUGGCUCUGAUACCAAUUGUGAUGCCCCAACUUCCUAGGGGGUAACCCAUUUUAGAAUUACUCCCGUCCUAACAUGCUUAACUCUCUUAACUUCUUGGGCCUAGCCAUCAUCCAAAAUGCUUAAGCCGGGUUUAGAGUUUUAGCGCUAUUAUAUUUUAUAUAUACUACUUGGGGUCUCACACCGCCGCAACUGCCAGAAUACUCCUCCGACAGCCACAGGCAGAGAGGAGCCUAGCUUCACUGAACCACGGUCGCUGCUGCCGCUGCCGACUCCCCCGGCCUUAGGAGGUCUGCCGCCAACGACCCCAACCUCCCUCAGCCGUCGCCAUCGCCGCUUGGCUCUCCCCAACCCAGCCAGGAUUUGUGCUCGCCGAGCUUCUCCAACUAGCCGCUGCCGCUCCCAGUCGCUAGCCAAGGGGAGCACUGUGCUUCUUUCCCCCUCUGCUGCUGACCCUAGCUGGAGCGCACAGCGGCAGCCGGCCGGAGAGCCCUCAGCUCGCACAGCCCCUUGAGCUAGGACUCAAAUAUAGGCCCUUCUCUAUUCGUGGCAGUUCGAUGCCCCCCGAUCUUUUUGAAGGCAAGCACGGCGAACCCCUCGACUCGCUAAACGUCAUGCCUAACUCUGUCGCUGUCAACGACGCUCCCUCGCUGAGUUUUAGCUCCUUCACUCCCGAAGUCUUUUGUACACUGAAGUUGGGGAGGCUCCACAACACUCCUCGGUUGUCAUGCGCGCUUGGGACAGCGAGCACAGUGUCCGACACGUCGAGACCUAUCGGACGUGCCUUCGCUUCAUCCCAAAAGUGCACAGUUUUCGGUAAUGGCCUUAAUUUUUGCUCUAAUGUUUAUUAUUUCGCGAUUUGUUGGCUCUUUAGGGACAUUUUUGCAAUCAGGGCUUCGUGGGCUGCCUUGGGUAGCGUGUGGUCAUUGUUUGUGACCCUCCCUCUAGACUUUUCCUCUAGAUUCUGAAGCCUCUGUGCGAUCAAAAGUAGGGUUUCCACGCGUUUGUCGGUGAAAUUGCCGGUAGAAUACAGUUUCGUGUUGCAGUGAAUCUCCAGCUUCAUGGUUCCCCGAAAAUUAUCACCUAGCCUUGUUAGCUAGCUACUGUGGUGCCCUCAUGUGUUUGGAGGUGAUCGGAGUGCGGCGGAGGCUUCCAGUGCUAAAGUGGACACUUUCAGAAGCCCGGUGGUCGAUUGGCGAUGACCGAGUUGACUUGGAGACUUAUGUUUACUGUUCGAGCACUUAAAUAGAUGUUUUUCGGGAUAGUGGGUGACUCCUGGUGUGAGUCGGUACAUUUUGGGGCAUUUUGUGGGUCCCGGGGGCAUCUCGGUGCGUUUUAGGGAUUCCCGGUGAGUUCGGGAAUCUGUUUUGGGAAAUCAAUUUCGCGAAUGGUUUGGGAUUGUGAGCCUUGUGUUUUUGAGUCUAUAGGAUUAGAUUCUGACUCGGUGGACCUGUCGUAGGUUUGGUCGACGUCCCUUGCUUUGCAGGAGCUGGAUACAGUGAUGGACACAGGUGGGUACUUCGAUCUGAAGUUGGUACUGUGGUGCAUGCUCGGUGAUAUCUCUUGUAACACCCCCAAUAGUCCCACAUCGGAUGGGAUACUGAUCCUAAUCAGUUUAUAUGAGUCCUCACACGCUAGUAAUAAUAACUGAGCUUAACCAUUUUUGGUAGGUGGUUUGGCCCAACGAGUUAUUAUUGCUAGAGGGUCGGAUCGUUACAAUUGGUAUUAGAGCCGAAUACCGGUCAGAAGUGUGAGAGAUAAGUGCUAUACGGGGCAAAGUGCUACACCAACGAGUUUUGUGGGAGCCGCUUCUUGAAACCGUAGAAGCCAUCUCUAGAAUCUCACAUCGCCUGAUAAUUCUGGUCCUAAUCUGUCUAUCUGUUGGGGUUUUGACCCAACGAGAAUGUCAAUGUCUAAAUAGGGGGAGUUUGUAAUACCUCCAAUAGUCUCACAUUGGAUGGGAUAUUAAUUUCGAUCAGUUUAUAUGAGGCCUCGAACGCUAGUAAUAAUAACUUGGCUUAAGCAUUUUAGGCCGGUGGUUUGGCCCAACAUGUUAUUAUUACUGGCGGGUCGAGUUGUUACAUCUCUCUACUCUUUCCUAACUACCUACUACUUAUACUUGUUUCAUGAUGAGUAUGACACUCUAUGACUUUGCUUUAUAUUUGCUCUAUUAGUUCAUAUUUUCGUUCUUGUCUAGAAGCAGAACAGUAGUGUUUCUUUGCUUAUGCAUGAGCGUAUAUCAUCAAAUACCUAAGUGGUCGGUACUCAUGGAUUUGCAUUGUUUUAUGAUUUCGCACAUCAUUCAACCUAAGUAGUCAGUACUCGUGGAUUUGCAUUGUUUGAUGAUCUCACACAUCAUUGUUGAUCUGAGUGGUUGGUACUAGUGGAUUUGCAUUGUUUGAUGAUCUCGCACAUCAGUGUUGACCCGAGUGGUUAGUACUCGUGGUCUUAUGUUGUUUGAUAACAUGAUCGGUCGGUACACCCUGAGAGGUCUGAUUGUCGGCUAUUCGCCGACGGAUGACUAUUGACCAUAUUUGCAUCGAUCGCCAUAGCUCGUCAGUAUUUCACGUACACCGGCGAUCUAAUCUAUUGUAGGAAGGUGUUCUUUUCUGAAAAAGUGAUCGUACAUUCGACCCGUGAGCUUUAGCGGCCUACUACUAGAGUCAUAUGCCAAUUAGAGUAGGAGUGGCAUUGCCUGAGGUCCUUAGACCAAUACGAUAGUUGAUUGGGUAUACUUGUGCUAUCAAUUGCAGUUGACUCAUAGUUAUUUCUCCAUCCCUCUUUGCAGUAGCGGUUAUUCAUACCAUUAUCACAGUUGUUUUCAGUUUAAUUUUUAUUAUUAUUGCACUAGUUUGACUGUUGACUAUAGUUGGCCGUUGUUUUAUUAUCUCACUUUACAAUAGUAGUUUUUUGGUGAUAAUCGAUAGUUGUUAUUCCUUAUCAUCAUACCUAAUUUACUUAUUACUGCUGCUAUUUAUCCUUUCCAUCUAUUGAUGUGUACAACUCGCCUUCGUCGGCUUGCGGUACCCACUAGAAGGGGAAGACUUGUUUACAUGUUCUCACCCCCCACUAUUUUUCAGGUAGCUUAAGUGGUGAGGGUCGGGAUGAUGCGUGAGGACGAUAGUAGAUAGUGAGCUCGAGAUAGAGAUCCCAACCUUACAGUAUUAGUUUUGGUUUGACGCUUAUUGUAUGCAUGUCGGUAGAUAGACUUGAUAGCUCAGUUUCUUACCACUCUCAUACUUGUUAGUAGUUAGACAGUAUUGUGGUUUAGUAGAUUUACUCGUGGAUUUGGAUAUCCGUAAAUUUUGAAUACAUGUGAGAUUUUGGACUGGGCUUUCAAACGAAGUUUUUAAAGCAUACUUAUGGUUUUCGCAAAUAAUGAAUUUUUAUCCCUCGUGGUAGCUUGUUUACUUUAAAAUAAAGGAUUUUAUGUAGAAAACGGUUUUCAAAGUGAUUUUUCGACUUUUAUUGGAUUUUCGAAAAACUAGAGUUUCAAAGUAAAGCCUUCGAGUGGGAGGCAUUUUCAACUAGUAGGAAUAAAUAUAAAAUUGUCAUUCCUCGGGGUCCCUUUGAAGUUUAAGAAUCAAAGCGGAAGUGCUCAAUUUUUUUUUUUUUUUAAAAUCCUUGACCCCAUGGGAUGCCAGACUGGUCACAAAUACAGGAAACCCACUGUUCACACGGAUAAAGUCUCCCAUAUAUUUGCACGGGGUCGCAUAAGUAUAAGAUACAACCACAAACAUAUACAAAUCAUAUACAUUCACUACAUCACAAUAUCACGAUUUACAUUCAAUUCAAUCAUAAGAUUAUAAUGUUUCAUUCGUAAAUCCAUAUCUAUUAAUUUAAAACGUUUCCCCACCCAAAAACUUAUUUUGAAAGACUAGAAUUAUGAAAAGCGAAAAAUCCUUUUUAAAAUCGUUUUCCACACGGAAACCUUUUUCUUUAAAAACAGGCUACUAUGAGGGGUAGAAAAUCAUUACCAUAAACUCACAUGAAAACCACAAAUAUUUAUUUAACAUCAUAAAGCUGAUAUAUCCAAAUAAAAAAAAGUAAACUGAACCAUAAAAGUCUAAGUCAUUUAUUCAUGGAAAGAGGGUAAAGUCUAAACCGAAUGUCACUGGGCCGGAAACUCUAUCAACCACUAGGUACGCGUCUCACGCCUCGUCCUGACUCGGACCAGCAAAGUCACCAUCUGCAAAUUGCAGGAUUUAAGUAUUGAGUACCGGUACCCCUGUGGAUUUCAGAAUUGGGUGCUCUCGGAUUUGAGCAUAUUCGAUGCUGAGUACCGGUACCGACUUGUCGAGUACCGGUACCGAGCCCGAGUACCGAUACUGCAUCGGGCGAGUACCGGUACCCAGUGCGUGAGGUUGCGGGCUGAGGGGCCGGGUACCGGUAUUGGAGUUGGGUACCAGUACCCCAGCUAGAUUUUUGAGUUGGUAAGGGGUAUUUUGGUCUUUUGAAGUGACGAUCAACCCAAUGUUUAUCCUCAGCCUUAUAUACAUGUAGAGAGCUCAGAGAGGAAGAUUUGUUUGUUGCUCUCUCUCUCCCUUUAGUUUUCGGACGUGCUCGUGGUGAAGGUCGCGGCUUGAGCCGGGAGGUUGUUGACGUUGAUCCAGAGGACCGUUUGAGCACGUGGUCGUUGCGGUUGCGCCGUUGGAGGCUGUGCGAACGCGUGGAUUCCCUUCUUUCGACUUCUCGCCGUGGUUGGACGAUCUUUGCGAGGUGGGUUGAUGUUUACCGAAAUCGUCGGAUUCCCUCCUACGUCGAGAUAUUGUCAGCAUGUAUGUUUUAUAUAUAGUAUUAUGUUAGUAGCUCAAUUCAUCGAUUUACAUAGUUUUUGUGAAAUCUGAGUUGGAUUCUUAAAUUCUAGAAUUGUUUUAUAUGUUGGACUUGGAAUUGACUUAGGAGAAAACCAUUAAACCCUACACUGUCAUUUUCUGAAAAGUUACCAGAUUUAGCUAUAGGAGCUGUUGUUCUUUUGUAUCACCGCUGUUAGUAUGCAGUGGAUACCCAGAUUAGUGUAGGUUGAGGUUACGCUCGUACUGGGAUGCCGAGUUCGUCUUAUAGUAGUGUGUAGAUUAUUUCGGGUUGUCGGGUGCCGUUGUGAUUGACGGUGGACCCAGAUUUAUGUAUUUUGCAUCAGAUUGUGCCGAGGGGACGUGAGUUUGGUUAUUAGACCCACUACAUUGAUUAUAGUCGUCAGAGCCUGGUUGAGCUCAGCAGAGACACACUUACAUAUUCUGUUGGAUAGCGCCCGCAAGUGCCGCUCCGGAGUAAGGCUUUACGCGCAUUGUCGUCGCCGUAGUCUUGUUUGGACAGUGUUCUUGGGCCGGCCACCUCUGUGGUGGUGUGCAGUAUAGCUUGGACUUAGGCUGGACAAGCCAGUUGGCAGUCCCUUGACCUUGGGUUAGUGUAGUCGUUAUUGUAGAGGAUGCAUUUUUAUAUGGACAGAUAGCUCAUUGUGAGUAGUGAUAGUAUAGUAGCAUGUAGCUGUAGAGUACAUUCCAGCUUUUCUUGCUAUCUCUUGCAUGCAUUUCUAUAGACUUAGUAGGUGAGCCGUUGAGGUCGGUGACGGUACUCAUUGAGGACUACUCUAUUUUGUAGUAGUUCUCACAUCUUACUGUUGACCCCUUUUUGCAGAGCCAUCGUCUGCGGCUGCUACUGUUGUGGAUUCAGACCGAGAUAAGGGAGUCGUGAGUUAGAGCCAUCCCUUUCCUUGGUCGCCAGCUAGAGGAGCACCUAUCCAAAGGUAGUUUUGGGGUUUCUUUGUACGUACUGGGAUGUUGUCGUGGUACUCGCUGGAGCGAGUUGGGUUAUAGACAUUUUGUAUGUAUAGGAACCCCUCAAGGUUUAUAUACAUGUUUAUUUCUCAGUUUAGCAGCUCUUUACCUUAUAAUUGUAGCUUGGUUUGGUUUACAGGUACAGCUAUCGUUUCGUAUACAGAGAAAAUUCCUAUAUAUACGGCAGGUCUGUUGGCGUGCCCAGAGAAACGUGGUAAUCCGGGGCGUGAUAGAAAUAUUCCAAAAAGUACGAAGUUGUUUGAGAAUCUCCACUUUCACUGGACAAGCUAUCAAAUGCUAAUAUAGACUAGAAAAGAUAAAAUAUUUGAUAGGUUGACCAAUUUUAAAUACAAUGCAUUGAAUAGAAUUCGAUGCAAUAUCAAUAUGCACAUCUAAGUUAAGAAAUAAUAGUAGAGCAUUCUAUACUAAGUUACUUACUAUAUUUCCCAUAUUUUUAGUUCGUUUGGUUCAAAGUUAAGUAAGAAUUAGUUAUUUUAGAGAUAGGUAUAAGUUCAGAGUUAAGCAUGUAAUAGACCAAUUUUGCAUUUGUAUGAAAAUUGAGUUGUUCUCGAGAAUAAAAAAAAUAGCAUUUGGAUAGAUAAUUAAGAUAGAAUAAGAAGAAUAGUGGGUAGUUAUAAAUAGAACAUAAUGAUGUUGCCUCUUAUAUUUGAAUUUAAAUUUUUAAAUUUUAUAAUUAAAAUUUUAAAUCUGAAUAUAUAACUUUAAACAUUGAAAAAUUCAAAAUAAAAUUUAAACUUUUAAAUCUCAAAUUCAAAAAUUUAAAGUUCUAAAUUUUAAAUUUAAGAUUAAAUUCAAAUUUAAAAAUAUCAAAUAUCAAAAUUUUAAUUUAAAAAAUUAAAAUAAUAAUUUAAAAUUUAAAAUUUAAAAUUUAAAAUUAUAAAUAUCAAUUUUAAGCUUACAAAUUUUUAAAUUUUAAAAAUCUAAAUUUUAAAUUUGAGAUUAGUUAAUCAUACCCCAAUUNCCCAACCCCCAACCCCCCUUAACCCCGAACCAAACGGCCGCUAAUGAAUCAAUUGAGUAAGAAUGGGCCAAACAACAUGUUAAAGUCUCCAAAUGCGCUAGAAUUUAGGUUUUAAUAUGUUUUUUUAUUUAUUUUCAAUUUUAAUAUUUUGGUUUUGGUUUCAGUUUUAAUUUUUAUUUUUAUUUGAAUUUUAAUCAAUUGAGUAAGAAUGGGCCAAGUUUUGAUACUCAUACGCCACUGUUGUAACUGAAAGUUCAAUACUCAUAAAUGUAAGAGGAACACAGUAUCCAAUAUCAAUUAUCAAAUGUGAAACAAUAAACAAUUUCAUCAACUUAUUACUUAUUAAACAAAUCUAUAAGCUGCCUACACAAUCUCAGACAAAGUUUCCAAACGGAUAUAUAAGCUGCGUACACUGACCGUCCCUAGACCCAGUGGCCAAGGGCUUGGUAGUUGGUAUCCGAGAUCCCAAGUUCAAAUCCUAGUUGAUUCACAUUUCUAGCUAAAUUUAUUUCUAAAUGAAAUAAACGAAGCGGGUAGCGUACUACCUACCUCUCAAAAAAAAAAAAAAUAUUAGGCCGAAAAUACGUAAUUAAGAGGUCAAGCAUAGUAUCCACUUUUCCUUACCAAAUAGUGAGCCAAAAUAAUUAAUUAUAUAUGUUUAUCGUACGUCAAGGCACUCAUCCAAAAAGGCAAAGCCACAAAAACUAUAAAAAGAUGAAUAGCAAGUGAAAUAAUUAAGUUGAUUUAAUGUGCCACCGGUCUAUGUGUUCAUUGAGAAAACAAGGCAAAUUGACAAAACUAAGGCAAAACAAGUACCCUAUAAUUAUUAUUAAAAUUUUCUUCAUUUCAAGAUAAAAAAAAAAAAUAAAAAAAAAAAAAAAAAAAAAAAAAAAAAAAAAAAAACCUUUUGCAGAAAGAGCCCCUUCUAACACAACCAGCAAUAACCGUGUUUGUUGCAUGUGUCGUUUUUUCUCGAGCCUAGAGGGAGGAAAAAAAAUAAAAAAAAAGCUAUUAAAACAAAAGUACAAAAGAGAAAACAAAAAAAGAGAUAUUACAAACAUACUCUGGCCAAAUUAUCAGCUUCUAAAUAUAUCCCAGCAAAAAUCUAGAUUCCAUAUCCCAUCAAAAAGUUACAUGCUUACCGUUAAAAUCACAAAUCACAUGUACAAAACAUAAUUCACAACAAAUCAUCCGUUAAAAUCGACUUCAAUCAAACAAAAUCGUGUUGGCACAGAUCUAUGAAUAGUACAACUCCCGAUCGACCAUGAAACGUAGAUCGAUCAUCAAAGAACACGAAAGAGAACUAUAGAUCGAACCCUAGGAGCCGGAACAAUGAUCGAUUUGAAGCAAAUUUAUCGGCCAAGAUCUAUUCAUAUUUCUAAUUGAUCACAUUAACAAGGGUGACCAAAUUCAUCUUAACAUGCAAUAAAACAAUAGGCUUAUAUAUAUUGGCAACAAAUUAUAUGAUAGAAUAAAAUAUUCCAAAAUUUAUAGAAUAAAUAUAGUAAAAUAUAUCAUUUACUCAUCUCAUUCUAUGUGUCAAAGAAAUAAAUAAAGUGCAAACCUUGCAAUGACUUUUAAAACUUCGUGGCAAGGUUAUCUAGAAGCUAGUCGAGCCCCUCUUCCUUCUUUGUGAAUCUACAACCAGCUAAAAUAGAGAUUUCAACAGUCGAUAAACAAAACUUAAAUUCAGUUGACUAAAAUAAGCAAUAGAGUAUUUAUACUGAUAAGAUAGCCAUCUGAUGUUGAUGAUGCAGAAUGCAUAUUCUGCAGUCCAGCAAUCCAAUAUUUUUAAACUUAAAUUAUUAAUUUUAUAAAGUAAAUCAAAAUAUUAAUUUAAUUCAAGUUUAAAAAUUAAAUAAAUAUUUUAAUUUAAUCUUUAAAAUUAAUAAUUUAAUUUAAUUUUUAAAAAUUAAUAAUUAAUAAUUUAAUUUAAUUAAUAAUAAGAAAUUAAGAUUUACAACGGUGACCCCGUGUGAAUUUCUCAUCACAAUUGAACCAUAGUCCCUGAUCUCUUUUUUUGUGACUUCAUUUCAACAGGAGUUGAGUUAAAACAUUUGAUAGAAGCUGUAAAAUUUUUCACAUUUGAUAGAAUGUGAAAUAACGAUGGUAAAAUUUUUCACAUUUGAUAAAAUUUUUCUCAUCACAUUUGAUAGAAGCUGUAAAAUGGUAAAAUUUUUCAAUAUGUUUGGUUUGAAAUAACGAUGGGUAUCAGAAAUUCAGAAUAGUUGAUUCCCAUUUCCAUUUAUUUGGUUGAGAUAAAAAAAUUAGUUAUUAAAAAUAAUAAUUGAAAUAAAAUUUCAAUUAAAAUAUACAAAUAAUUAAAAUUUAGUUCACAACUCAAAACAUGAAGUUAAAAUUAUAAUUUAAAUUCAAGCUGGAAAUUAGGUAUUAAAAAUUUACAUCAAAAUUGUGAAAUNCCCGGAUCCAUUUGCAUCUCUAAUCCUUUCUUAAAAACCGGAUUAAAAUUUUCUAUUCUAAAAAUAUCUCAACUAUAUUAUAUUUAUAAUUUCAAAUUAAACUAAAAUUUUAACUUUAAUUUGCUAUUUAAAUAUAAGUUAAAGUUCAUAAAUUAUUUUUUUUUACUUUUAGAUUUUAAAUUGAACUUAAAUUAAAAUCAAAGAUUAAUAUUCUAUCAAGAAUAUUGAAUUUGAUUUAUGAACUUUAACUUAUAUUUAAAUAGCAAAUUAAAGUUAAAAUUUUAGUUUAAUUUGAAAUUAUAAAUAUAAUAUAGUUGAGAUAUUUUUAGAAUAGAAAAUUUUAAUCCGGUUUUUAAGAAAGGAUUAGAGAUGCAAAUGGAUCCGGGUUGGUGGAACUCCUGCCACGAUCCGCCCAAAUGGGACAGUAAAUGGGAGAAAAUAAACGAAUACGGACCAGGAAACGGGAUAAUUUUUAUAAUGCGAGACGUAUUUGGGGUAGGAAUAGGGAGAAAUUUUGACCCGCCUCGAUUUCGCCCCAAAUCUGUCCCGCCAAGGUCCGCCCAAAAAAUUAUUUAUAUUUUUAAAAAAUAUCUCUAAAAAAUAAUGUAUUUACGAAAAAGUUCAAAAUAUAAAUAAGUUAGUGCUCUCAUUUCUCAUGUAUUUAAAAUUUUUGAAUUUUGCAUCGAAUUGUGAUUGAUACUUUUAAUUUUAUAAUUGUUGCUGUUAAAUAUAUAUAUAUAUAUAUAUAAAAUAUUAUUAAAAAUUAUUAAUUUAUAUUUUACAAAAUAUUAAUAUAUUAUAAUUUUAUAAAAAAUAUUAGUUAGCGGGGGCGGAUUCAGGGCGCCGGCUAGAGGCAGGUAACAAGACGGAAAGGAUUAUGGGAUAUAUUUUUUAAUCGGUCACGAAUUCGAAACAGAAGGCAGGACGGAAUUUUGGUAGCCAGGGCGGGAGGCGGACCGGGGCUCUCGCCGCCUAAAACAAGAUCCAUGUUACUACCAAACUUAAAAGAGAUGGUGUAUUCUAUAACCACUUUUACAGAAACCAAACUUGAUUUGUAUCUUUUGAAACCAAAAGAAAUGGAUAAGUUGAGUUGUAGAAUCAAAAUGUUUGAACUGUAGGUACUCAUUUUAAAAUACACUAGUUUAUGUAAGUUCUGGACUCAUAUACAUUUUUAUCCGUUGUUUGCUAAUAUCGCCAAGUAUAGAUGAAUAUAGCUAGUUUGAAGUUUCUUGAUCUUUCAUGAUUUCUUUUGGGCUGAUGAUAUUCUCAGGCCUCAGCCCUGUGCAAGAAGAAUGCCAUAUAUAUGAUCUGGUAAUCAUUUUUUCCCCUCCUGAUCCUAAGCACAUUUCAUUUUUCGGCCUUUUCUCUAUACCGUUAAGACACAACAUUGUGUUCCUCUUUCCUUUUUUUUCUUUCUGUCGAUGACAUUCACUUAUUAGGCUUACAAACAGGCAUGUGGCCCAUACAAGCAGUCACCCACAGGCGAAAGAAGAACCAUUCACUGCACCUUACUACUGCUUAAUUUACGAGGUCUUUAGAUUUCUAAACUACGUAUUUACUACAUAUAUAGCUACGUACUUGGGCAAUGUAUUAUUUGUUAUUUUGCUAAAAUUGUGGCUGUAUUGCUAAACUGUCGAAUACUCUUUGCCCAAGGAUUAAAGUGCCAUCGGCACGGGCCGUAUCUACCGUGCCGUAUCGUGCCAGCAAGAUGUCGGCACGAUACAGCCCCCGUGCCGAUGAUACAACUCAAAACCCUCUAUUCUUGAAAUUAGUAGGCAAUUUUCUUAACAAAGUUCAAAAGAUUUGAUAAAAAUAUGUAAUAAAUAAUUGGUAUAUUUGUUGCUAAAAAAAAAUAAAUAUUUCAUGCCAUUACAUAUCGACACACAUAUUAUUUUGACCGGCAUACAUCUGCAUGGCCCGGCACGCACCAUACCGUACUGUGCCGGCAAGUUUCCGACACGACUCCGCGUCACGGCACUUUAAUCGUUGUCUUUGCCUUCUUCUCUUGUCGUUUCGGGUAUGCCAUUACAAAAGCCUUUUGCGUCGCCUUUGUAAUGACCUUCUUUUCUGUAUUCGAUGUUCCUGCCUUCUGGACGAUACAUCUAUGCUACUGGAUCAUCCUCCUUUACUUGAUGAUGAAACGUCAAAUACUUUAUAUUAUCAAAUAUAAAUAUGUGCAAUUCAACACAGGCAAGCAGGUGACUACCGGGCUCAGUAUAUUCUUCCAUCAUAUUAUUUCAAAAAGGAUAUUUUGCGUAAAUACCCUAUAAAUAUAAAUUCAGGCACAUUCCAUUUCAAAGUUGGUGUGUGCAUGCAUGCCUUGAAAACCUAACUUUAUUUGCAGGUAUGCCUCUGCCAGAAUAUUUAUGCGGAAACUUGGGGUGCCUACAUAGAUACCUGUGGUGGGGUUUGUGCACGAAUAAACCAGUACGCAUGUAGAUCCAUAUUUCGCAGUUGUAUUUAUGCAAUUUAACAUAUUUGCAAGCGUAUAUAUGCAAAAAAAAGAGAUCUUCAAGAAAGAAAUAUCAGGCUUUUUUUACAAAAAAAUCAUGCCUCGGCAACAAUAGGACUUUUUUUAUUUGUUUCUGUUUCUGCAACUUUAGUCCACAUCUCAACUUUUAAAACAAGGGAUGAUUGUCUAUAUACCUUUCAUACGUUUGAAAAUAUCUGAUUUAUCUUUAUUUUUUUUCUUUCUAAAAUACCCCUUAUAUGUUCCACAGUUUUUAUAAAAUAUCUCCACAGUUAUUUUUUGUUAAGUUAAUUUGGGUUAAACGUGAGUUAAAUAUCUACCAGAGUUAAAAAAAAUUAAAAUGCCAAUUUUGCCCUUAACUUAAGGGCAAAUAAGAAAUGUUGGUGACGGUAGAAGGGUAAAAUUAAAAUACUUUUUGUGCCCCUGACUUUAAGGGCAAACAAGAAAGUCAGUGAUGUGGAAGGGUAUAUUUGAAAAGGCAAAAUAGUAAUUUUACAGAGAUAACAGAGUUAAUUAAUCGAUCUUAACUCUAGGGGGAUAUUAGAAAUAAGUUGGAACGUAGAAAGAGUAUUUUCAUAUUAGCCUUCUAAAAGGAGUAAAUCGGAAAGUCGAGAACUUUUCAGGAUAUAUAAGCAAUUGCCUCUUAAAACAAAAUCAUGCCUUGACGCAUUCUUUUGAGCUGAGGUUAAUUGCAUGCCUUUAAAACUCUGCAUCGAUUUUGAUCUGUACAUUGAUCAUGCAAUGCCAUGCUAUCUUGGUCGUGGAGUGGAGUAGCAGCUUGGUCUGAAAAGUUAAAAAGGUGUCUAAAGUUGCAGUAAGGAAAAGGUACAGAGUGUGCUUUUUAUCCUCAAAAUGUCUGAAAUAAUUUGGCAAUUCCAGAUUACUAAAGAGUGUGCCUUUUAUCCUCAAAAUGUCUGAAAUAAUUUGGCAACCAGAUUACGUGCAUUAUAUUAUUGGCUAUCAUUGUACGUUUUAUCAUCAGAGAUACGGAGGCAACAAAAGUUCAGCAAGCAUGCAACAGUUCAUCCAGCGAUUGAUCUUCUCCAUUGCGCUCUCAUAGUAAACCGAAAAGGUAUUUAUAUUUAAUGUGUCAUCAAACAUGAGAGAACAGAAAUAUAUACAUACCUUCAGUUGCAGAAUUUAAAAAGCAUGUGCUAGUUCUUUUUUGGAUUAAUUGCAUACAGAUUCCCGUAAACAUAAUGAAUUGUAAAUAUUCCUAAUGUUUUCAGAUAUGUUCCUCUAGUCUGUUACUGUUAGAGAACUAUUAGAAAACUAUUUAUAUUUUCAAUUUUGCUAUCACAAAUAUGUCCCUCCAAAAGUUAUAACAGUAUAAUAUAAAAGGAGUAAAUAUGUCAAAAAUUAAUCUGGGUAAAAUAUUUAACCUAUAGUUAACUAAACUUUUCUAACGGAUUCUAACAACAGGGACAUAUCUGAAAACAUUAGGACUUUUGUAAGGAUAACUUAUAAAAGUUGAAUUUUAUAGGAAUAUAUUUAUAAUUCAUUAUGUUUCCGAAAACCUGUAUGCAAUUAAUUCUUUUUUUUUAUUUUCCUUCCACUUUCUUAUUGUUGGUUAUUUGGGACGGACAUUUUUGUCACUGAUAUAUCUGUAAGAAUCAUAAUCAUGGUUUAUAGUAGGCAUGAAGGGAUCUCUUUUUUUUUCUCUUUUUUCUUUUUUUUUUUUUUGGAAUGCAUAAGUUCAGUCAUUCGAUUGAAGUUGAGUCAUUCGAUUGAAGUUGAUAUAGAGAUGAUGUUGAUUUAUGAAAUUGUUAUCCUUUCAAAGUUCGAAUAAAUGAUCCUAUGUUAGGUGGCUAUUAUUAGCCAGAUUUAUAAAGGUUAAUGGACCGAAUAAGCUAUUGAUUGCAACUACAUAUGGUUUCCAAUGCCACUGAGAUUGAAUUACUUUGAUAGAUGAAAAUAGCUGGUCUGGGAUCAACAUAACUUAGGAGCUGCAAAUUUUUCAAUUUUAGUAUCUGCUCCUGAGGAGUUAAUUUGUCAUAUAUAUAUAUAUAUAUAUAUAGGGCUGGCAAAUGAGCGAGCCGGCUCGCGUUCGACUCGCGUUCGACUCGAUAUUUGGCUCGCUCGAGCUCGAUUCGAAAUUAAAUGAGCUGAGCUUGAACAAAAUAAAAGAUUCGAAAUUCAUUUCAAACCGAGCUUGAGUAUUACUUGGUUCGUUCGAAUUAGGCUCAAGAAGCUCGAAAAGCUCGACUAUAUAUAUAUAGUAGAGCUACUAUGCUAUCGAAAAUAUAAAAAUAUAGUGCUUUCGAUUUUUUGAUUCUUAGAUCAAUCCCUUUAAUCGUUUCUUAUCUUUGGAUUAAUAUUAUUAUUACCUUGUAGGGACCACUCAAUCCUAAGAGUAUCAUUUAAUCCUAAGGGAGACCGCAAUCAUCCCAGCCAUACAAUUUUUAAUCAAAGGAUCAAAAAUUCAAAAACAUCAAAUCCUCUAUAUUUUCGAUAGCAUAGUAGUUCUACACUAUAUAUAUAUUAAAAAAUAUAUAAAUAUAAUAUAUUUUAAUUAUACAUAGGUUGAGUGAAUAAUUUAAGUUUAGUUAAAAUUAGGCUAAUAUUGUUGGCUCAUAAAAACAAAUCCAAUAGACAAAUAAAAGAAUAAAAUUUUACUAAAUUUAUAUAUUUUUUCUUUCUUUAUUUCUUUCUUUCUUUUUUUUCACAGAGCUCUAAAUUUUUAAUUUGUUUUUCUCUUUUUCUUUUUCUGUCUCUCACCCUAAGUUGCCAAGCCGGAAGUCCUCUAAGUUACCAAGUAACAUCAUAUGCCCGCCGUUGCCUACCUUGCUAUUAAUUGUAUGCUUGAGAAAAUAUACAGAAUAUUUUUAAAGUAAAAAAUUAUUAUUCAUAUAAAAUUUUAAUUUUAGUUAUAUAUGAUUGGAUAGUUUAAUUCAAUAUUUAUCUAUAUAAUUUAUUUAUUUUUCACUACAUAAAUAAAAAUGAAUAAUAUAGAGAUUGAAGACGGAAGAAAAGACAUGUGAGGCUGAAAAAAUUAAAUAUUCAACUCAUAAAUUAUUUUUUUCAUAUUAUAAUACUAUAUUUCAUAUAAUUAUUUUGUACGUUGAACUAUUAGACAUAUUUUUGUAUCAAAUUAUAGAUAAUGUUCUAUAUAAAUUAAACUAUUGAUCGUAUAAUGUUGAGAAUUUCAAGCGGCUCAUUUAGGGCUCGAGCUCGCUCAACUUGAAAUUAGGCUCGCUCGAGCUCGGCUCGAAUUAAUUUCAAUCCAAGCUUGAGCUUAAAUUUAGACUCGAAAUUAAUUUCAAGCCGAAUUUGAGCCGAGAUAAGCUCGCUCGAGCUCGGCUCGUUUCCACCCCUAUAUAUAUAUAAUUGAGCUCCUAUGCUUUUAAAAGUACCAAGUCAUUAGUGCUUGUAAGUUUUCGACCUUUGGAUUAAGGAAUGUGCGGUUAGGAUGAUGUUGGCCUCCUAGGGUUGAGUGAGUGGUUGGUUGAAUAGUAUAAUCUAACGGAUAAAAAUGAUGAAAGGCAUAGAUCUAACGGUAAAAAAUUUAGAAACACCAAAUGCUUGGUGCUUUUACAAGCACCAUAGCCGAACUCUAUAUAGAGUAUUGGACCCUUCGUACUCAUAAGUUAUUUUCGAUAAUAGAGCUUCUGAAUCAACGAUCCACUCCGUUAAAUAUGAUCUAGAGUAUUUGAAACUUCUAGAAAAUAAAUUUUGUAACUUUUCGAAAUCAUAAUAAAGUCCAUCAAGCGAGCAUAAAAUGAACGGUCAAAAUCGAACGAUGUCUUAAAAAUGGAUAAUCAGAUCCUUCAAUUUAAGAUCGGAGUUAUUGAUCUUUAUCUAGGUAGUGAAUAGAAUUUUCUAUCAAAAAUUCAACCUAUUCGGAUUCUUUUGCACCGUUAAACUAGCAAGUAUUCCAUACCGGCCGUUAAAAAUUGUCAAUUUUGUGAGCUUUUGAUUGUAAGGUAAAUGAUGUCGAAAAAUUAUGAAAUUUGAUUUCUAGAUGUUUCAAAUGCUCUAGAUAACGUUUAACGGUGUGGAUUGUCGAUUCGGAAGCUCUAUCAUCGAAAACAACUUAUGAUACAGCGAUGUCUAAUAAUAGUAUAUUAUGUACCGCUAUAUAACUGAUAUAUAUAUAAUAUAUAUAUAUAAUAUAUAUUAAUAUAUAUAUAUAUAUAAUAUAUAUAUAUCUAAUAUAUAAAUAUAAUAUAAUAUUGAACUAGAAUACUCCUUAGAGCACCAACCUUUCUGCCUCUAUAAUCUACUCUUAAAUUACUAAUACCCAUGGAUUCAAACACAUAUAGCUACACGACCAAACCUACCCCAUAUUCAACCUACAUCUCUCUAUCCCACAUGUUAAAAUUUAAGACACAACCCUUGGUGCUUUUGAAAUAUUCUACUAACUCUAUAUACUAUAUAUUAUAUUAUAAUAUAUUAUAUAUAUAGAUUGAGGCUAGAAUUAUCUCCGGAUCGUAAACACGCCCGUUUACUAUCGAGUUGUUUUCGAUGAUAGAGCUUUCCAAUUAGAAAUCGGUCCGAUAAUAGAACAUGAUUUAUGUCCACUUGAAGUGUUUAGAAUACAAUUUCAAAUCUUUUCAACUCAAAUUUGCCCUAAUGAUCAAAGGGUUUCAAAAUUUGUAAUUUUAAUGGGAUAUAGAGCGUUUUCUGUGUUAAACGGGUAAAGAAUUAUCACUAUCAAUUGAAUAUUUUGUUAGAAUUUUUAAACUAUUUAAACAAAUACAUACUCGACUGAUUACAUAACUCUAAACAAUGACAUUUUUUAAAGAAUAUUCAUUUUCAGCCAUUCAUUUUUCUGUUCACUAGAUGGAUAAAAAACAAUAUCGAAAAUGCGUGAAAUUUGAUUUCUAGGUAGUUUAAAUGGUUUAGAUCAUAUUUAACGGAGCCGAUCGUUAAUUUGGAAGCUCUAUCAUCGAAAAUAACUCGAUAGUAAACAGGCUCGUUUACUAUCGAGAGUAUUCUAGCUCAUAUAUAUAUAUAUAUAUAUAUAUAUAUAUAUAUAUAUAUAGUCAUGAAAUGUAAUGAAUUUGUCUCGUCCCCACUAAUUUAUUAUGUUGCCACCAAUUAACGUUGGUUGGCAAUCUACCUAUUUUGGAGGGUCUUGCAAUUCCUUGCCAGAUCUGUCUCUUGAGAGUGAGCGCAUGUUUGCACGUGUGUGUGCAUCCGUGCAUUGUAUAUUUUUGAGAUCUAGAGAGAGAAACCACUAUGCUCUAGUCUUUUUACUUUGGUUGCUAAAGAUCAGAGAUUCGAUUUCUCUGUGUUUAUUAAGUGGGGGUGUUUGACCUCAUUGCUUAGCUCUUUUUCUUUUUUUUUUUAAAGAAAAAGCUAUAGUGACCGUACAGUGGGAGGUUCUUGGAUGCGGAUUACAAAGAAAACAAGAAAUUACAAAGAUGCAAGAUUUACGUGAUUUGGCCAACCUUGAGUUGACCUACGUUCACAGCCAAGACCACCUCAAUGCUUUCUUUGAUUAUUUCAUGGCACAAAAGUACAAAGGAGUAUAUGGGGAUUACAAGAAACUCUCUCUCAGGAGCUCUCCACGUUUUCCUCUCAACUAGGGUAUUUUCAAUGAAGCUCAUAAUCUAAAAGAUUAAUUAUAAAGGUUUAUAUAACCCUAAAAUCCUAAUUCUAGUAUGAAAUAAUUUUCGCCUUCCAUUCAAGUAUGAUUCAUAUGUAGUCAUCAAUAUCUUUUUAGGAAUACUCUUUAAAUUGAUUCUGAACUAUUUCUAAUCUUUUGGAACAAAAUUAAAUCUAAUUAGAGUCAAACUCUCAUAUCGACUCGAAACAUGGCUUUAUAUAAUCCAACAAUUUGCAACAGAUGAGACUUUAUUUAAUAGUCCGGUUUAAAUAGUUGCUUGGCUCUACCCUAUUUAUAUUAGAUUAGACCAGUGACUAAUUUAUUAGGUAGUAUUUGUUUGGUAACAUGNAAAAAAAAAAAAAAAGAAAAAAGAGAGAGAGAGAGAGAGUACAGUGAUUUAAAAGCAUUAUUAUUAUUAUUAUUUGUACUAUUACUAUUCAGUUGUCUUAAGUAGGCAUACCUGCAUUUUUAUACAGCUUUUCAGAAAAGUGAGGGGCCCUCCCCUGUCCACCCUCUGCCUUCAGCAGUAAACAGUACACAACAUAAGACUAUUUUCUGGAAAUCUUCACAGUGCCAAAAUCCAUGUGCCUUAGCUGAUUGAUUGCAUAUGUAGCUCCAAUACUGGGGAGAACGAAAAUCUUUGAAAUGUCCAAUCCUUUUUUUUUUUUUUUUUUUUUUUUUUUUUUUUUCAUCUAACAGUUGCGUCGGGUGAAUAAAUGGUAUCACAUCUAAGGUAGCUUUUGCUUCUUUUUUUUGAGGAUUAAUUUAAUAUAGAUUCUGGAAAUAUAGUGAAUGACAAAUAACAAUUAUAUUCUUAUAAAUUUUAACUUUUAUAUGUUGUCUUUAACGAAAAGUCCUGAUAUUUCAAAUAUGUUCCUCUUCAUUAUAAUCUGUUAGAAAAAAUUUAGUUAACCAUAUGUUUAAAUACCUAAUCCUAUUUAAUUUUGGACAUUUUUAUCUCUUUUUAUUAUAACUGUUAUGGUUUUUAGAGGGAUAUAUUUGUGAUGGCACAAAUUAAAAUAUAAACAGUUUUCUAACAGUUAAAAAACUAGCCAGGUCAGUUCAAGGCUAGGGCUUCCAGGUUCAUUUUGUCCCAUUAUAUUAGUGCCAAACUAUAAAAUAGAGGAUGAAAUUAAUCAUGUUUUUCUUUAAAAACUUAAUGAGAAACGAAAGUUCCAAAUGUUGUUCCAAUUACUGUUUGGUCAGCUGGUUAUGUCCAGUCAAACUGAUAUAGUGAUGCCACUAUGUUACACAUGUUGGAUACUUCUUUCAAAACACUUUAACAUAAGACUCAGGGAAAAAAAAGAACAAAAAUUCUACUGACUGUGAGCCAAUUUGGCUCGUAGGUUUUACACCACCACGUUGUGGGUGAAAACUGACUUUCCAAAAGCAAAAAGUUGUUCUUCUCCAUUCUGCGGUCCCACCGCAACUAUCACAAUGUGCUUUGAUGGCAACAAAUCCACACAAUGUGAAAAUAUACCCUUCAGAGAACUUCCCCCAUGCAUCCCACCUGAUUGUGGAAAGCAGCUCUCGGCGCAACCGGUCAACUGGGGCCUUAGGAAUCAUAGGUUUGAAACCAGGAUUAAAGGUGUGCUAUCGACACGGGUCCAUAUCCGACCGUGCCGUAUCGUCGCAGCAAGAGAUCGGCACGAACAGCCCCCCUGUGCAAUGGCACAACUCAACACCUCCGUAUUCUGCAAUUAGUAAGUAAUUUUCUCAAACAAAGUUCAAAAAAUUUGAUAAUAAUAUAUAAUGAAAUAAUACAUAUUUUGUUUGCUAAGAAAAAUAAAUAGUUGUUCAUACUCAAUUACGUGUCACACAACAAAUUUUUGACCGGCAUGCAUCGGCAACUGCCCCUGCACGGCACCGGUGCUGUACCAUGCCGGCAAGUGUCCGGCACGAUCGCCUUGUCACGACACUUUAAUCCUUGGUUGAAACUUCUGGAUUAUAGGUUGCAAAGUUCAGCGAGUGGUGCCAACUAACAAAGGAAUCACAAUAAAUAAAGUACCAAUUAAAGAUAAGAGAUAGAAGUCAAUUUUUUCGUACAAUACAGGGGGUUGUAUUAGGGUAACUAAAGGCUUUCUUGUUUAGUUAUAAUCUUAACUCUCCUAAGUCUGAACUAGGANNNNNNNNNNNNNNNNNNNNNNNNNAAAAAACGACCCACUUCAAAAAGAAGAAUUAAGCGCAAGACUACAGCUACGUCGAGUAUAUAAGGGAGGAAUGAAAAGAGACCCUUUAUUACUCACCACAAUAGCACCAUUGGAUGUCGGGGAGACUAAUAAGGGAGGCGAUAUACAUCCUGUACCCUCUAUGCCCAAUUCCCAUUUAUAUACCACAAAGACGGUUCAACCUUUUUAACCUAUCUCUCAGAGCGAAGUGGAGAUUAUACUAAUAUCCUGCGGGAAUUGAAGUACUCUCAAUUAAAUUCAAGAGGUAAACUGUACUAUAUAUUAUUCGCAACUAGAUGACUUACACUCAAUACCUUCAUUUACUAUAUAUAUCUACAACCACUUUUUCUUAUCCCAUAUUAUCUAUCGCAAACGCUAUUUUUUUUUAAUUCCCGCGAAUAACCAAAUUCUAUACAAACGAUUUUUUUUAUCCCAUGGUUGUCCUAUCCGCUGUAAUACUAGUUCUUAUUAUACCCGCCAAAACGCUAUAAGUUUUUGAUUGUUAGAUCUAUACUUUUGACAUUUCCAUCCGUAAAUCACUAUUCAACUAACACCCAUUCAAUCAUAGGGACCAGUAUUUCCUUAAUUGCACAUCCAACGGUUCGAAAAUUUAGUGAGUUUAAUAGAGUCUAUACUCAUAAGAGUAUUAUAGCCUUAGCUUAUAUAUAUAGAAUUAGGUCUACUAUACUAUUUAUAGUAAUCAACUGCUGUUAUAGGUUUCGGCCCUUGAAUGAAGGAUGUUGGUGGUCGGAUGAUAGCUAGGGUAGAUGAGGGGUGGCAAGUUGAAUUGCUAGACUUACGGAUGAAAAAUAGCCAAAAGGAUAGAUCAAAUAGCAAAACUCGAUAGAACAAACACUUGUACUAUCAAUAGUAUGAGCGCGGACUCUCUAUAUUAGGGUAGAUCUAACGACAAAAAACUCUAUAGCACAAAAUGAUCGGUACUAUAGAUAGUAAUAAUAGCCGACUAUAUAUAUUAGAGAGAGAUAGAGUCCGGCUACUAUAUUAUCGAUAGUACAAAUGCAUAGCUGCAAUCGAAUUUUGUAAGCCGUUAGAUCUACAUUUUGACCAUUUCUACCCGACUCUAGAGAUCAUCUAUCAUUCUAACCGCACAUCCUCUUCAUCCAAGAACGAAAACUAAUAGCAAGUGAAUUGGUACUUAUAUAUAUAUAGUAUAUAUCCGUGCUAUACUAUCAAUAGCAGCAGAUUUCCGUGCAUGCCCAAGUUGUUUUCGAUGAUGCGGCUUCGUCAAAUCGCUGAUCGCUCCGUUAGACUUGAUCUACACUAUUGAAAGUAUUUGGAAACUAAAUUUCAGAAUUUUCGACAUCAUUUGGCUAGUGAUAAAAGGUCUCAAAAUUUAACAAUUUAAUGGUAGAUGGUGAUGCAUUUGUAAAUUUAACGAUGUAAAACAAUCCAAAUCAAAUGAAAUUUUUAUAGAAAAUCUUUUUACUAUUAUAGAGUAGAUCAGUACCUCUGAUCUUAGAAUUCAAGUCUCUAUCAUCAUUUUUUUAUUAGAUUUUUAUAUUUAAGCCAUUCAUUUUAGACUACUCGUUUGAUAGGUAAAUGAUACCGAAAAAUUAUGAAAUUUAGUUUCAAUACUUUCAUAGUGUAAUCAAGUCUAACGGAGCCGAUCGUCGAUUUGGAAGCGCAUCAUUGAAAACAACUUGGUAGUCAUGAAGGCGUCCGUGCUACCGAUAGUAUAGCAGCCAGCUCUAUAUAUAUAUAUAUAUAUAUAUUAUGGAGAGAGAGAGAGAGAGAGGAGAGAGAGAGAGACUAGGCUCUCCUAUGCUUUCGAAACUGUACAGGAGCCUCCGUACUUGUAAGUUUGUUUUUCGAUGAUGGGACGUCCGAUUGGCGAUCGGUUCCGUUAGACAUAUCUACACUUUGGAACUAUCUAAAAACCAAUUUUCAUAUUUUUUUGACUUCGUUUGCCUAGUGAACGGUAGCCUCAAAAUGAACGGCUGAAAAUAAAAAAUCUCAUAAAAAAUAAUGAUAAAGGACUCAAAUUCAAAUCGAAAGUAUUGAUCUUGCUAUUGACGUUUAUGUAGAAUUUUCUAUUAAAUUUUCAUAUAAUUGGAUACUUCUACAUCGUUGAACUUAAAAACGUACCGCAUCGGCCGUUAAAAUAGUCAUUUUUUGGAGCAUUUGAUCGCUUAGUAAAUGUGUCAAAAAUUCAUAAAAUUUGGUUCCUAGAUAGUUCCAAUAUGGUAGAUUAUACCUAACGAGCCGAUCGUUGAAUCGAUGUCCUAUUAUGCGAAAACACUUACAAGUACGGAGGUUUCGGUACUUUCGAAGUAUAGUAGACGUCCAAUAUAUAUAUAUAUAGUAUAGUAUAUAUAUAUAUAACAUAUAUAUGUAUAUAUAUAAUCAUAUAUUAUAUAUAUAUAUACAUAUGAUAUGUAAUAUUAUAUACAUAUAUAUGUAUAAUAUAUCAUAUAUUAUAUAUAUAUACAUAUAUUAUAUAUAUAUAUACAUAUAUAUAUAUAUUAAGCUCCUAUGCUUUUAAAAGUACCAAGACAUUGGUGCUUAUAAGUUUUUAGCCUUUAGAUUAAAAAUAUAUGGUUAGGAUAAUGUGGGCCCCCUUAGGGUUGAGUGGUGGGUUGGUUGAAUAGUAUAAUCGAACGGUGUAAAUGAUACAUGCUGAUCUAACGGUUAAAAACCUACAAAGCACAAUGUGAUUGGUGCUUUACAAGCACCAUAGGCCGGACUAUAUAUAUAUAUAAUAAAUAUAUAUAUAGUAAUAUAUAUAUAUAUAUAUAUAUAUAUAUAUAUAUAUAUAUAUAUAUAUAUAUAUAUAUAUAUAUAGUCCGUUACUAUAACUGUGAUCAGUAGUAUCAAGCCCUUGGUACUAUUAAGUCUUCUGCCGUUAGAUCUACCCUUUGAUCAUUUCCACCCGUUAGAUUAUACUAUUAAACCAACCACCCACUCAACCCUAGGGGACCACUAUCAAUUUAACCGGGGACCACUAUCAUCCUAACCGCACAUCCUUUCAUCCAACGGCCGAAAACUCAAUAGUACCAAGGGCUUGGUACUAUUGAUAGUAUAGUUGCAUAAUUCUAUAUAUAUAUAUAUAUAUAUAUAUAUAUAUAUCGAGCUUUUCGAGCUUAAUUUGAGCGAGCCCGGUAAUACUCAAGCUUGGCUUGAAAUUAAUUUCGAGCCUAAAUUUAGGCUCAAGCUUGGCUCGAAAUUAAUUCGAGCGGAGCUCGAGCGAGCAGAAUAUCGAGCCGAACGCGAGUCGAACACGAGCUCAAAACUUCAGAAAUAUCUCAUUUAUCCCCUUUUUUUUUUUCUUUCCAAUAUACCCCUUAUAUAUUCCUCCGUUAUUUCAAAAUACCCUUACAGUUACCACCCAUUAAGUUAACUUGGGUUAAACGUAAGUUAAAUAUCUAACACAGUUAAAAAAAAAUUAAAAUGUCAAUUUUGCCCUUAACUUAAGGGUAAAUAAGAAAUCUUGGUGACGGUAGAGAGGUAUAUUUGAAAAAAUCAAAAGUCAAAAUACUUUUUGUGCUCCUGACUUAAAGGGCAAAUAAGAAAAGUCGGUAAUGAUGGAAGGAUAUAUUUGAAUGGGUAAAACAUAAAUUUUAUAUAGAUAAAAUAGUUCAUUAAUAAAUUUUAACUAUAGGGGUAUAUUUGAAAUAGGUAAUAAAUUUUAACUAUAGGGGUAUAUUUGAAAUAGGUUGUAACGUAAAAAAAAUAUUUUCAAUAUUAGCCUUCCAUCAUUAUUAAAUCAGAAUUUUCAAUAUUAGCCUUCUAAGAGAAGUAAAUCAGAAUCGAAAAUUUUUCAGGAGUAUAUAAGCAAUUGCNGAAUGACAAAUAACAAUUAUAUUCUUAUAAAUUUUAACUUUUAUAUGUUGUCUUUACGAAAGUCCUGAUAUUUUCAAAUAUGUUCCUGUCAUUAUAAUCUGUUAGAAAAAUUUAGUUAACCAUAUGUUAAAUACCUAAUCCUAGUUAAUUUUGGACAUUUUUAUCUCUUUUUAUUAUACUGUUAUGGUUUUUUAGAGGGAUAUAUUUGUGAUGGCAAAAUUAAAAAUAUAAACAGUUUUCUAACAGUAACAAACUAGAGGAAUAUAUUUGAAAACAUCAGAAUUUUGAAAGGACAAUAUAUGAAAGUUGAACUUUGUAGAAAUAUAUUUGUCAUUCACUAUUUUUGUAGGAACCUGUAUGAAAUUAAUCCCUUUUUUUAUAUCCAUGAUACGACACGGUGGUCUUAUAUAAGUAGAUAUCGCUUUAUUACAAUUGAUAUGACCUUUUCACUAUGAAAUAAUUAAAAGGGAUAAUUGCCUAUAUACCCUCAAAACUUCAGAAAUAUCUCAUUUAUCCCUACUUUUUUUUUUCUUUCCAAUAUACCCCUCAUAUAUUCCUCCGUUAUUUCUAGACCUGGCAAACGGGCUGGUUGGGUAACCCGCAGGCGGGUUAUUGUACCUGCGGGUUAUUUGGGCAUGGGUAAAAUUUACCCGUAAAUUUUUGGGUAGCCAACAUCUUUACUCAUACCCGCCCGCGAAUGGGCGGGUGGGUAUGCAGGUUACCCACAAAUUUUUUUUUUUUUUUUUUGCUCUUAUAUUUUUUAAAUACAAAACACAUAGAUAUAAGUUUUAAAAGUAUAAUAUAACUCAUUGUUUAAAAUAUCAUAACAUACAAUAAAAAUAUUUAAAGUCUUAAAGCAAAAAUAAUUUAUAAUAUUAAAGACAUGCAAUAAAAAAUUAGGAUUAAAAUUUUUAGGAUGGAUAAAUAAAAAAUAUAUAUUAAUUAAGAAAAUAUAUUUUGUAAUUAAAAAAUAUAUGUGCGGGUACCCGUGGGUACCCGCGGGUUAUCCAAAAUGCCCACUGCUUAAUGGGUACCCACCCCUUUUACCCGUAAUUUUUUGGGUUGGAAAAAUUGAUACCCAUACCCGCAAAUUUGUGGGUAACCCGUGGGUACCCGCGGGUUUGGGUCAAGAUUGCCAGGUCUAGUUAUUUCAAAAUACCUUUACAGUUAUCACCCAUUAAGAUAACUUGGGUUAAACAUGAGUUAAAUAUCUAACACAGUUAAAAAAAAUUAAAAUGUUAAUUUUGCCCUUAACUUAAGAACAAAUAAGAAAUGUUGGUGACGGUAGAGGGGUAUAUUUGAAAAAACCAAAAGUCAAAAUGCUUUUUGUGCUCCUAACUUAAGGGCAAAUAAGAAAAGUCGGUGAUGGUAGAAGGGUAUAUUUGAAAGGGUAAAAUAUAAACUUUAUAUAGAUAAAAUAGUUCAUUAAUAAAUUUUAACUAUAGGGGCAUAUUUGAAAUAGGUUGUAACGUAAAAAGGAUAUUUUCAAUAUUAGCCUUCUAAGAGAGGUAAACCAGAAUCGAAAACUUUUCAGGAGUAUAUAAGCAAUUGCCUCUAAUUAAAAACUAGAUGUUUAGGACCUAGCAACAACAAAAUAUGAAAAUUAGGAACCCAAAGGGAGUAUUAAAAAGAAAAAAAGAAAAAGUAGAGACCAAAAUUAAUCAAAAAGGUGACGAUUAGUAAGGGGUGGAAACGAGCCGAGCUCGAGCGAGCUUACCUCAGCUCAAGCUUGGCUUGAAAUUAAUUUCGAGCCUAAAGUUAGGUUCAAGCUCGGCUUGAAAUUAAUUCGAGCCGAGCUCAAGCAAGCCUAACUUCGAAUUGAGCGAGCUUGAGCCCUAAACGAGCCGCUUGAAAUUCUUAAUAUCGUGCAAUCUACAGUUUAAUUUUUAUAAAAAUUAUCUAAAAUUCGAUACAAAAAAAACCUAAUAGUCCAAUAUACAAAAUGAAUGCAUGAAAUACGAUAUUAUAAUGUUAAAAAAAAAUUAGGAAAAGUGACUCUGUGAGCGAGUGAAAAAGAGAGACAGAGAGCAAUUAUAGUAGGAUUUUGCUAGUUUAGUUUUGUCCGCCCAAGAAUCUAAAUUCUAUAUACAUAUAAUUAAAAUACAUAAUAUAUAUUAUUUUAUAUAAUUAAAAUAUAUAUUACAUAUAAUUAUAUAUAGAGAGAGUUCGGUUACUAUACUGUUAUUAGUAUAGACCCCUUUAUACUCAUGUGACAGCACCGUUUGGAUCGGGGAUAAGGGGAGGGAUAACCUCUUAUCCCCCCCUUUAUACCCAAACGUAAAUUUUUUACGCGAGAAUAAUAGUUCUCAUGUACCUUAAAUAAGCUGGUAUAACUAUCCCCACCAACACCUUCAUUUUCUAUAUAUAACUACCCACUAUUUUUCUUAUCCCAUAUUAUCUAUCCAAACGCUAUUUUUUUUUAUUCCCGCGAAUAACCAAAUUUUCAUCCAAACGCUAUUUUUUUUAUCCCCAUGCUUGUACCUAUCCCUGUAAUAGCUAGUUCUUACUUAUACCCGAACCAAACGCUAUAAGUUUUUGAUUGUUAGAUCUAUACUUUUGACCAUUUCCAUCCGUAAAUCAUACUAUUCAACUAACCACCCAUUCAAUCAUAGGGGACCAGUAUCAUCCUAAUUGCACAUCCAACGGUCGAAAAUUUAUGAGUAUAAUAGAGUCUAUACUCAUAAGAGUAUUAUAGCCUUAGCUUAUAUAUAUAGAAUUAGGCUACUAUACUAUUAAUAGUAUCAACUGCUUGUUAUUAGGUUUCGGCCCUUGAAUGAAGGGAUGUGUGGUCAGGAUGAUAGCUAGGGUUGAGGAGGUGGCAAGUUGAAUUGCAUGAUCUUACGGAUGAAAAUAGCCAAAAGGAUAGAUCUAAUAGCAGAAAACUCGAUAGAACCAAACACUUGGUACUAUCAAUAGUAUAGGAGCCGGACUCUCUAUAUUUAGGUAGAUCUAACGACAAAAAACUCUAUAGCACAAAAUGAUCGGUACUAUAGAUAGUAUAAUAGCCGGACUAUAUAUAUAGAGAGAGAUAGAGUCCGGCUACUAUAUUAUCGAUAGUACCAAAUGCAUAGUGCUAUCGAAUUUUGUACCGUUAGAUCUACAUCUUUGACCAUUUCUACCCGACUCUAGGAGAUCACUAUCAUUCUAACCGCACAUCCCUUCAUCCAAGAACCGAAAACCUAAUAGCAAGUGAUUGGUACUAUAUAUAUAUAUAUAUAUAGUCCGGCUGCUAUACUAUCAAUAGCACGGAGGCUUCCGUGCUACCAAGUUGUUUUCGAUGAUGCGGCUUCCAAAUCGAUGAUCGGCUCCGUUAGACUUGAUCUACACUAUUGAAAGUAUUUGGAAACUAAAUUUCAGAAUUUUUCGACAUCAUUUGGCUAGUGAUCAAAAGGUCUCAAAAUUAACAAUUUUAAUGGUAGAUGUGAUGCAUUUGUAAAUUUAACGAUGUAAAACAAUCCAAAUCAAAUGAAAUUUUUAUAGAAAAUUCUUUUUACUAUUUAGAGUAAGAUCAGUACCUCUGAUCUUAAAUUCAAGUCUUCUAUCAUCAUUUUUUAUUAGAUUUUUAUUUUCAGCCAUUCAUUUUUAGACUACUCGUUUGAUAGGUAAAUGAUACCGAAAAAUUAUGAAAUUUAGUUUCCAAAUACUUUCAAUAGUGUAGAUCAAGUCUAACGGAGCCGAUCGUCGAUUUGGAAGCGGCAUCAUUGAAAACAACUUGGUAGCAUGAAGGCGUCCGUGCUACCGAUAGUAUAGCAGCCUAGCUCUAUAUAUAUAUAUAUAUAUAUAUAUAUAGAGAGAGAGAGAGAGAGAGAGAGAGAGAGAGAGCUAGGCUCCUAUGCUUUCGAAAGUACAGGAGCCUCCGUACUUGUAAGUUGUUUUCGAUGAUGGGACGUCCGAUUGGGCGAUCGGUUCCGUUAGACAUGAUCUACACUAUUGGAACUAUCUAAAAACCAAAUUUCAUAAUUUUUUGACUUCGUUUGCCUAGUGAACGAGUAGCCUCAAAAUGAACGGCUGAAAAUAAAAAUCUCAUAAAAAAUAAUGAUAAAGGACUCAAAUUUCAAAUCGAAAGUAUUGAUCUUGCUAUUGACGUUAUGUAGAAUUUUCUAUUAAAUUUUCAUAUAAUUUGGAUACUUCUACAUCGUUGAACUUAAAAACGUACCGCAUCGGCCGUUAAAAUAGUCAUUUUUGGGACAUUUUGAUCGCUUAGUAAAUGUGUCAAAAAAUUAUAAAAUUUGGUUCCUAGAUAGUUCCAAUAUGGUAGAUUAUACCUAACGGAGCCGAUCGUUGAAUCGGAUGUCCUAUUAUCGAAAACAACUUACAAGUACGGAGGUUUCGGUACUUUCGAAAGUAUAGUAGACGUCCAUAUAUAUAUAUAUAUACAUAUAUAUAUAUAAUUAAGCUCCUAUGCUUUUAAAAGUACCAAGACAUUGGUGCUUAUAAGUUUUUAGCCUUUAGAUUAAAAAAUAUAUGGUUAGGAUAAUGUGGGCCCCCUAGGGUUGAGUGGGUGGUUGGUUGAAUAGUAUAAUCUAACGGGUGUAAAUGAUCAACAGUGCUGAUCUAACGGUUAAAAACCUACAAGCACAAUGUGAUUGGUGCUUUUACAAGCACCAUAGCCGGACUAUAUAUAUAUAUAUAUN
rnacentral:lncRNA from 1 species